AAAAACCGAUAUAAAACCUUAAAUAUUUUAUAAAUUUGGGAUAUAAAUGAAAUUUACCCGAAUAAUAAUAAAUAGAUAACUAUAAUAAUAAUCGAAUCAACUCUCAGCCAUCAAAAUGACAAUAAGUCAUGAACACCAUUAAAAUAUAUGUGUAUAUAUAUAUAUAUGAAAACCUGAUAAAAUUUCUACUAAAAUUAAUAUUUUAUUCAAUUUAAAACACUUCUCUAAAGUCAAAUCUCGGUCAACAAAUGAAGAGCUGCCAAAAUAACUGCAAUGGCAAAUCCAAUGGUGACGUUCAAAAGAGGAGCUGCAGAUAAAUCUGGUGUCUGACUGAUGGAGGAAGCGGGAGUAACAAUGUUAGGAACAAUAGUGGGAGCCAAAGGAGGAAUUGAAAGAGAACUGGUAGGAGAGGAAGUCAGUGAAGAUUCAUGGGAUGAAGGAGAAGGAGAAGGAGAAUGAGUGGCAGUUGACGGCGAAGGAGCUGGUGGCGAAGCUGUGGGAGUGGUGGUUGGAGAGGGAAAUGACGGUAACUUGGUUGGCGUAUUGCUGUGAGCUUCGCCGAGAGCGCAGGUGGCUACUAGAGCCAAAAGAACGAAGCAAACGAAGGAUUUCGACAUUUUCAAGCUUAAAAAAAAUCAAAACAAUCCAGAGGCAGACGAGAAGAGGAGAUGAAAACUGAUAUAUAUGUAAGGUGGAAUCUCUUUUGAACUAACUAAAAUGGAUUAUUAUCGUUUUAAAUUUCAAAAUCUAACCUUAUUAAAAAAAUUGAUUAAAUAAAUUUAUUUAUAAAAUUAUUUUGUCACAUUUAAAAAAUUUCAUUAACUUAAAUUUUAUAUUAAUUAAAUUUAAAUUAUGUAUAUAAUAAAUAAUUAUAUAUUCAAAUGUAUAAAUUUUUUAUAAUAUACAUUUUAUUAUAUUAUAAUUAAUAAUUAGGAGGUUGAGGCGAGAAAUGGCUUGAUGAACUGUAGAUUUAUUUUACUUUGGUUUAUGAUUUUGUAUCUAAAUAAAAUAUUUAAGAUAAAUGUUUAGUAAGUUAAUAUUUGAUACAUUAUCAUAAAAUAUUUUAAUUCCCUAAGCAUACUUCAAAUAUUGUAGUAUAUUCAUUUUUCUAAUACUUUAUUCUUUUUAUAGUAUUUUUUUACGAAGUGGUAAAAAUUCUAAAUUAAAUAAGGGUAAACUAUAAAAAUAGUCACUUUUUGUCUCAGAUUACGUUUUAGUCAUUUAUGUUUGAAAUGUUACGUUUUAUUCAUUUAUGUUAUUGUUUUGUUACGAAUUAGUCAAUCUACCGUUAAGUUCCGUUACCUCCCUAACGGCAAUCCUACGUGGCAGUCCAAAUGGGUUUUAAAUGCCAAUUGGGAUGCCCAACUGGGAUGAGAAUAGUUUUUUUUAGUCAAAAUAGAAAAGAAAACUAAAAGAAAAAGGAGACGAAUGAUUUUUCUUUUCCAGUUCAAUGUAUAAUUAAUCUAAAAUUUUCAAUUAAUUAAAUUUAUUUAAUUAAAAAUCUAUUCUCGUCCCAGUUGGUAUUUAAAAUUCAUCUGGGCGGCCAUGUAGGAUUGUUGUUAGGGAGGUAACAGAACUUAACGACAGAGUGACCACUUCGUAACAAAACAACAAUGUAAGUGACUAAAACGUAACAUUUCAAACAUAAAUAACUAAAAUGUAAUCUAAGACAAACAAAAAUAACUAUUUUUAUAGUUUACCCAUUAAAUAAAUUUCUUUAUUUGAUAGAUUGGUAGUAUGAUUUUUUAAUUUUACAAACAUUGUUAAAAACUACCACAACCUUAAUUGUUGUUUAAAAAAUAAGAUAUACGACAAAUGAUAGUUUUUUAACCUACUUAUGGAGUUAAUAUGAGAAGGGUUUUAUAUAAAAAUGAUUUUAUAUGACAAUAAUCCCUAUUAUAUUUUGUUUAAAUUAAUUAUUAUCACAUAUUAUUUUUUUAUUAAAAUGGGUCUGAAAGUUACUACCUCAUAUUAUCAAACAUCAGCAAGAAAUUAUCAUAUUUUAUAUAUAAUAUAAAGGGUCAUAUUUUUAAUUUUUAAUUUUUAAUUUUUACAGUUUCAGUGAAAUUAUCAUCUUUUCAGUUAAAAUAGUAGUCAUUGAAGGGGAAAAAAAAUCAAACUCUUUAAAUCAACUUGGAUAGUUAUUUUCCAUCUUUAAAUAAAAUUGUUACUAAUGCAUAAAAAAAAACAAAUUAAUUCCCAUGAAACCUUAAAUUAAUUAAAAUUACAUGUCCAAAAUUAAAAAAAGUAUCAAAUUACAAAAUCACAACAUAUAUAUUUUUUUGGUGAAAAUAAAAUACAACUAUUACAAAAUAUUAGAAAAUCUCAAGAGGAGAAGUUUCAUAUAACUGUAGACCCUCCUCCCUGCCAAAGGCCAUCUUGGUAAUACUAUUAGCUUCUUUGUUCUUGUUUCUAGGAACAUAUUUGAUCAACCAAUUUUCCUCAUUUUGUAAAAGCUAUAAGAUACUCAUAAAUGCAGAAUUUGAUCCCUUCAACAAGGACUCCUUAAUAGUUCUAAUAACGUCCAGAUAGAGAAUCUGUAGCACAGUUCUAUCAUGUAUUCUGCCUUGUAUCAGUUGACACACUAUCGAGAAUGCUCUACAAUUCAGCUUCAAAAAUAGAACAUUCACCCAAUCUGUGAUUGAACCUGAGUAACCAUUUGCCAAUGAAACACAACAUAAUAUAUUAAAAUUAUUAAAAAAACAUAAUUUAAUACAAUUUCCUCAUUCUUAAUUGCGACAACAAAAUAUGUUACCGAAGAUAAAAAAGAAAAACUCUUAUAAUUUACAAAAUAUAAUGUAAAGAGCAUAAAUAGGGGAUACAUACCAAAUUUAAAUCAAUUAUAAUUAAUACAAGACCCAUAAUUAAUUAUAAUUUUUAUUUGACUUUUUUAUUAGAUACCAUUUUAUAUAAAGCUCUUAGUUGUUGUUAAAAUAAAAAAAAAUAAAGAUUUAAGCUACUCAAAUUCUUAGUAUUAUAAUAUCUUUCAAAUUUGAAACACUCUUUCUUUAUACCUGUAAUAUGUGUAGCACACUAAUUCCUAGUGUUUUAUUACUUUGUUUUACAUUAUCUACAAAUGAAAUGUAGGAAAUACACAUGAGCAACAAGAAAAAAAAAGUAUUAGAUUUUUUUAAAAAAAAUUUCUUUCUAAUACCACCAUUUUUAACUUUUCAAUAAUUUUUAUUAGAUUUUGGUUUGAUAUCGGAAAGGACCGUUAUGAAAUUGAAAAAGAGAAGCAAAGUUGAUGUUGAUCGAGGACAUUGCUGGUCAAAAAUGAUGUUGGAGGUGAUAAUUCACAAUAGUGAUUAUUCUUUUUUACGAGAUGAAUAGUUUUAGAGAAAAUAAGAAUUUUUUUCUAAAAAAAAAUGAAAAGUGAAAAUGAAAAAAAAUAGAGUCAAAGUCAUUAAAAGUUCGAGUAAGGAUGAAACUUCCCAAGAGAGUAGAUAUCAAAAUCUAGAUUUUAAAUUAAUUUUAUUGUAGGUCUGAUUAUAUUUUUACACGGUUAUAUUUAAUAUUUCAAUUCCUUAUUUCAUAUAAGUAAUUUUGCAUUAAUAUUUUAUUUCAUUUACAUCAUAUUUAAGUAAUUUUUUAUGAUAAUUAUUUUUUAUUUUAAAUUUAAAGAUAACCUCAGUUUUAAAUUUAGUUUAUGAUUGUGAUGCUAUAUCAAUUUUUAAUUAUGGUUAUAUUUUGCAUAAUAUAUAAUAUUUUAUAUAUAAAAUAUAAAAUGUAAUAUUUUGGUAUAAGACCUCUUAGUAGCCAUAUAUGUUUUAAUUAAGCUCAAAAUCGAGUUAAAUCAGACUUAAUUAUGAAAUGCAAAUUCACUUAAUCUUUAUCUAUAAGAUUCAAGAAAAUUAAAUUUUUUAUUGUUUAAAUAAAAUAAAAUUUUUUAUUUGAAUGUAGGCACCACCGACGUACGAAAUGUUGGGUCGACAUGCAUAAGAGUUUGCUAGCUUAUUGUCAAAUGUUUUGUAUAAUGUAUGUUAUUUUUUGAAGUGAGUCAAAUGUUAUAUUUAAAUCAAAACUCAACCAGCUGGCCACGAAAUUUGGGGAACCAUGUCCUGUGUACAACAUUACAGACUGCAAAAUCAUCUUAAUCCCACUCCUUGCUUCCAAAUAUUUUAUUUUUUUAUAUAUUAAUAAGUACAUAAACGUAUAUUUGUGUCGCUUAUGGUAUAAUUGAGUAAUUAAUUAAUUUAAUUUUUACUAAUUAAGUUUUUGUUUAAUUGAUAUGGACAUUGUUAUUAAUGUAAGAGAACGUGAAAUAUUCGAGUGCGCUUCUCCUAUUUAUGGGUUAAGAAGUAUGGGUAGUUCUAAGUAUUAUGUCCAAAAAAAAAAUAUGAUCAGAAUCUAUAAUAAGAUUGUUAAAAAAACUUAAUGUAACUUAUUUAAUUUGCCUUUUUUGUUGGUAUAUUUUGAGUUUCGUAGUUUUAUUAUUUACUUGUAAUUUUUUUAGGGAACGAAAUUAAAUUGUAAUUUUUAUGAUAAUAAAAAUGUAAUUUCACCAUUUUAAUAGCCUAUAUCUUUAUAAUUUGUAAAUGAUUAAAAUUUUAUCAAAAUUUAAUAGCCUAUAUUUUAGUAGAUUUGAAAUAUGGUUUAUAGGACCUUUGUUGUUAUAAAAAUUUUUAUAUUUAGCAUUAACUCAAUAUAGUCUAAAAAAUAAGGUUAGAUCGUGGUAGCGUGUUGCAUACUUUAUAACUUCAUUCGUUGGUGGAAUUGGGAUGAUCCAUACUUUGAAGAUUAUAUGGAACAAGAAGAUACUAAUUAUCUUAAUAAUACAAAUUUUGAUUUUGAUUUAGAUGAUGAAGAAAUUGGUUAAGGGCUAACAAAUGAUGAUAAAAAAUAUAUGUUAAAUGUUAGAGAGGAAAUACCCUAACAAAAUACAGAAUGUUAGUGUGAUUAAAUACAAUUGCAUAUUAUGUUCAUUUUUCUUGUCAUUUUUAUUAUCAAGCGUAUUGUCGACUACUUUCUUGAACUAUCAUAUUUACAUAUGACGAUUUUCUUGUAACUUUUGUUAUUUGUUUAGAAUUUUUUUCUCUUGCAUUAUUGAUAAUUUUUUAUAAUAAUUAAUAUGUUUUAAAAUUUUGAAUUAUGUAACCGUAUAAUUACAAUUUGUAUUACCAAACAUAUGACAUAGAAAAUUACGAUAUAAUUACGCUUUGUCAACCAAAUAUGUCUAGGAAAUUAUAAUUUAUUAUAACUACAAUAGAAUAUAAAUGUUAUCUUAAUAAUUACACUUUAAUCCAAUUAUUCUAUCAGCUAAAUAAACUGAUAUAUUGAUUUGUUUAAUUUGUAUUGAAAUUCUACUAAGAUAAAGAUAUGAAUAAUCAUUAUGAUUCCAUGUUAUCGAAACUAUUUUUUUGAAAAAGGUCGACUUUUAUUUUAAGAAUGAAAACGAAAAAAACGGGAGUCGCCACCAAUUCUUUUUUAUGAUGUGUGAUCGGGUCACCUCGAAAAGUGGUUAUUUUCAAUAAAUGGUUUGAUUUAUUAAAACAAUGAUCUUAGCCUACGAAAUUCAGAAAGAUGGGUUCGGGAGUCGGUUACACACUAGGAAAGAUUAGCACACUCGAUACGCCCAAAAUUGGUACCUAGUUGAUUAAUUAAUAUCUUAAUGUCGAAAAUUGAGAACUUUGAAGAAAUUUAAAAUACGAUCCUUUGUUAAAAAGUUAUUUAACUGAAAUUUUUUCGAGAAAAGGGCACAUCUCACAUUAAUCAAGAAAAAGAAUUACGUCUCGUAAGUUAGGACGCAAUGUCUUAAAUCCUCGAAAUGAGAAUAAAUCCCGAAAACUUUAUUUAUUUUGAAAGAAAUUUGACUAUCUCAGUUUUAGAAAGAAAUCAUAUUCCGUAAGUUAGAACACGAUUUUUUCUUAAUUCUCGAGAAUAUUAAAAAUUUUUAAAAUGUUUGUUUGGUUCGGAUUUAUCGAGAGAAUCGAAACCCCAUAAGUUAGGGAACGACUUUUCGAAUUUCAAAAUACGAAAUAUUGCUUAUUUAAAACAAUAUUUUUAAUGUAUCGGGUAAAAUGUAACACGAAUUUGUAGUAAAAAAUGUAAAAAAUAAUAAUGAUAAAUCACUGUACUAAUAUGCAUAACAGAAUGAUAAUAAACGCAAUAAUAUAAAUGAGUAUGCUAAAAAAAUUAAAAUUAAAAAAAACCUAAUAGUAAACAAAGAAAUAAAUAAAUAUUAUGUAAAACAAUUUAAAAAAAACAAUAAUAUUGAUAAUAACGAUAAUAAUAUUAAUAAUAAUACUACAAAUAAUAAAUAAUUUGAAGUUUGAAAUUGUAUAAAAAGGAUAUAAAAAAAUAAACAAUAAAAUGAUAAAAAGUAAUGAUAAAAUAUAGUGUACUUAAAGAAUAAUAAUAAGUAAAUAAAAAAAAAGAAAUAUAAUAAUAAUAGUAAUAAUAUUAAAUUAAUUAAUAAUAAAAUAAUAAGUAAACAAACACAAAAAGAAAAUAUAAUUAUAAUAGUAAUAAUAAUAAAAAUAAUAGCAAUAAUAAUAGUGAUAAAAUAAUAAUAAUAAUAAUAGUAAUAAUAAUGUUAAAUUAACUAAUUUAAUAAUAAAAUAGCAAUAAAUAAAAAAGGACUAAAUUGAACUUUUAAAUAGAAAGUUGGGGUAAAUCAGAAAUAAAUAAAAAGAAAAAGGACCGAGUUGCAUGCGUGAAUAACAAAGAGAGACCAAAAGGGAAAUUUUUCCUUCUCCUCCAAAACGCACAGCAUAAGGGAGGACCAAAUUGAAAUCGAAAUAAAUAAUGAGGUAAAAAUAAAAAAUAAGAAAAACUUGAUUGCAAAACCAUAAAAAAAGUGGAAGGAUUAAAAAGGUAAAUAACCCCUUUAUGAAAAACGCGCGGAUCGUAGGCCAGAGCGGGUCGGGUUGCACGGGUUGAGCAUGAAACGACGCCGUUUUGGGGUUUAAUGACCCAUGCCAAAACGACGUCGUUUUAGCCCUCUAUUUAAGCAAACUUUCCAAAAAAAAUUAUUUCAGCACCUGUUUUUUUUUUUAAAAAAAAAACCUUCCUCCCUCUCUUUUUCUCUUUACAGGGCCUGAGGGUCUGGUGGGAAUUUCAAUCGCCGGACCGCCGUCGUCCGCCGCUAUCGACCAUCGUGCACGGCGUUCAAAACUCGAAAAAAAUUAAUUUUUUCUUUUUUUUUUAUUAUUUUUGGUAUAUUUAUAUAUUUAUAAAAAAACUAUUUUUUAAAGAAAAAUAAAAAAAAAUAUAGGCGUAUGUAUAUAUAUUCGAAGGAGGAAAAUAAAGAAGAGGAAAUAAAAUAAAUUAAUAAAACAAAAAUAAAGACCUUAGCCCGUUUAUAUUUUUUUCCACUGCUUGCUGUCUUUUUUUUUCCUAUUUGUUUGGUGUAUUUGAAUCUGUUUUUGUAUUCGAUAAAAAUCCCCUAGAAUAUUACAAUGGAUUUUGAUUGGCUUUUAUAGCCAUUUACAAACACUUUUAAACUUAUUUUAAUACUACUGUUGCUUGCAGGUGCAACUUGAGGGCGGUGGACGUGACAAGGCGUUGGCAGCAGGCGGUGCAGAGGCUAGGACGGCGAGCCUAGGGUUUCAAAGACCCUAGAAUCAGUUUAGGUUUUGGGUUUCUAUUGGGCCAUUAAGGUUUGGGCCCAUUUUAGUGGGUCUGUAAUUGGGUUUUAAUGUUUUGGGCUAUUUGGGUUUUAGCUUAGGUGUGGAUUUGAGGUUUGGGUUUGGGGUUUAGUAAUUUGGGUCUGAGGUUUGGGUUGUAAUGGGACUAUGGACCUUUUGUUUUGAUUUUGUUUUAAUUUAUGGGCCCCGGGCUAAAUUGGGCUUGUACAGCUGCCCUUUUUGCUCGUUGUCGUGUAACGAGAACAGAGCAAAGACUUUUAAGAAAGACUAAUUUUGCCUGGUCUCGCCAGUAUUGACUUCUUUGGUGCUCAUCUUCUUCAGGUAGCCUCGUUCCAGUCCACCACAUCUUGUUGUUUCGAUCCAUUCCACCGCACCUUCAGAGAAAUAAAACUUGUAGUUUUAAUCUAUUCCGCUGCAAAUUCAAGGAUAAUAGAUUUGUAACUUGUAGCUUCAAUCUGCUCCACUGCAACUUCAGGGAGAUAAGAUCCUCUAUCUUCAGUUUGCUCUUACUGCAACUUCAGGGAGAUAAGGCUGGUGGCUUUAAUAUGCUCCACUGCAACUUCAAGAAGAUAAGAUUCGCCAUAUUUGUAGUUUUAAUUUGUUCCAUUGCAACGUCAGGGAAAUAAGAUUCGCUGUCUUCAGUCUGCUCCACUGCAACUUCAGGGAGAUAAGACUGGUGGCAUCAAUCUGUUCCACUGCAACUUCAAGAAGAUAAGAUUCGCUAUAAUUUGUAGCUUUAAUCUGUUCCACUAUAACGUCAGCAAAAUAAGAUUCGUUGUCUUCAGUCUGCUCCGCAGCAACUUUAGAGAGAUAAGGCUGGUGGCUUUAAUCUGCUCUACUGUGACUUUAGGAAGAUAAGAUCCUCCAUAAUUUGUAGUUUUAAUCUGUUCUACUACGACGUCAGGGAAAUAAGAUUCGUUGUCUUCAGUCUACUCCUACUGCAACUUCAGGGAGAUAAGGCUGGUGGCUUCAAUCUGCUCCACUGCAACUUCGAGAAGAUAAUAUCCUCUAUAAUUUGUAGCUUUAAUCUGUUCCACUACAACCUCAGCUAAAUAAGAUUCGCUGUCUUCAGUUUGCUCCUACUGCAACUUCAGGGAGAUAAGGUUGAUGGCUUCAAUCUAUUCCACUGCAACUUUAGGAAGAUAAGAUUCGCCAUUUUCGAUCUACUCCACUGCAACUUCAAGGAGAUAAGAUCUACAACUUCAAUCUGUUCCACCACUACUUCAGGGAGAUAAGAUUUGUGGAUUCAUCGAUCUUGCUACACAGUCUUCUGGGGGACAUGACCUGUAGAAUUGAUUUCAUGGGCCUAUGCUUAUGCCAAAUGAUUAGGAUGUAAUGAACCAAAUGCUCCUAACUAGAUGUGUAGAAUGAUAUUUGCAUGGAUGCAGAAUGUAAUGAGAAUGAUCCCUUUUAAAGGUUUAGGUUGUUAUUACUCAUUGUUCAUCAAGGUUCUAUCAUUGAUGCAAUAUCCUGUCUUCUUGUUCAGUUGAUAUCUUUGAUAGAAAAUUCGAAGAAAUAGUCACAAUUUAGACUUUUCUUUCUCAAAUAUUUUCAACCUUUAGGUUUGGUGAGUUCUAAAUAAUAGUCAUGUUUCAAGUUCUUGUACUAUUUAGAAGCUUCUAGAGUAAUAUACAGAACUCCUUUUGUGAAAGUAUUAUUAGUCCAUUACUUGUUAUUUCAAUGCAAAACGCUUGAAAAAGAUCAUAAUGAUGGACAAAACUAAAAUUUAUAAGGAAUAAUAUCUAAAAAGAAUGGAUUAAUGAAAGAAAGCAAACAUUGCUGGAAUACAAAAUAGGUAAGAGGAAAAAUAGAUGCCCUAGAUAUCGCAGCCUGAGCAUUUCUGUACAAACUCCUUGAGAACCAUUUUGAGCUCAACAUGUAUUUAGGAGACCUAGAGUACUUUGUCAAUGCUCCAAGAUGUAGCAUACCUCUUCUUUUUUAAUUCAGGGAUAGUAAGACUACCGUAUACCCCACUUUUCAUCAAAAUUUGAAUUGCAUUUUUAUGGGUUUUCAAUUCAAAACCCUUUUAGUCUCAAGGCGCCUUUUGCGGGUUUUCUCCUAGGCCUCUCCUUUUUUUUUAAGUGAAGUACUUCUUGACUGAGUCUGAAUUCAUUGGAUUAGGAAAAGUCUUUCCAUUCAUUUCAUUUAAUAUCAACGCUCUUCCAGAAAAAUGCCUUCUUUACCACAUAAGGUCCUUCCCAGUUGGCAUCCAUUUUCCUCUAAAGUCCUUUUGUAUGGGAAUGAUCUUCUUCAAUACCAAGUCCCCUUCAUGGACCUUUUCUCUUCAAACAAAUUUAACUGAUCAUAUCAGGCUUGGAUCCAUUUUGCUUCAUCCAAUUUUAGCUCUGACAAGACUCGAAGGGAAGGAAUCUCAACUUCGAUGGGUAAAACUACCUCCAUUCCAUAGAAUAAUGAUAAAGAAGUUGCCCUGGUAGAGGUCCUGGUCGAUGUAUAAUAAGCAUAGAGAGCAAAUGGUAACUUCUCAUGCCAAUCUCUAUAAGGCUCAUUCAUCUUUCCCACAAUCCUUUUGAUAUUCUUAUUAGCUACCUCAACUGCACUAUUCAUUUUUGGGCAAUAUGGUGAUGAGUUGUGGUGUUUAAUUUUGAACUGAUUGCAGACCUCUGUUAUCGUGCUAUUGUUCAAGUUUAAUGCAUUGUCCGAUAUGAUCCUUUCUGGCAUUCUAUAUCGGCAUAUGAUCUCUUUCUUUAAGAACUUGCUGACUCUCGACUUUGUGACAUUGGUAUAUGAUGCAGCUUCUACCUACUUGGUGAAAUAGUCGAUGACCACAAAGAUGAACCGAUGCCCAUUGGAAGCUUUUGGAGAAAUCGGUCCAAUGAUAUUCAUGACCCACAUAGAGAAAUACCAUGGAGAAGUCAUAAUAUGAAGAGGUGAAGGAUGCACAUGAAUCUUAUCCCCAUAAAUUUGGCAUUUAUGGCAUUUCUUAGCGUAACUGAUGCAAUUUCCUUCCAUGGUAGACUAAUAAUACCUGAAUUUCAUGAUUUUUCUGGCUAUUGUAAAACCAUUAGCAUGUGUUCUGCAGACACCCUCAUGGACUUCUUCCAAGAUUUUCUUAGCCUCGACAGCUUCUACACAUCUUAAUAGCACAUAAUCCUUUCUUCUUUUGUAUAGGAUCUCCCCGUCUAAGACAUAGUCACUGGCCAGCCUUUUCAAUGUUCUUUUGUCAUUCUCAGUUACUUAGUCAAGGUAUUCACGUUCUUCACAUAUCACAGUAUAUCGUGAUAUCAAGGAUGAUCAUUUUUUUCUUCCUCUUAUUCAAUAUUGUGGCAAUGAGCUGGAUCCUCAUAAAUACUCAUCUGAAUAGGCUUUACAUCCUCCUAUUUGUUUACUUCGACCAUAGAAGUCAUAGUUGCCAAGGCAUUAGCCAUCUAAUUUUCAUCUCGCGGAAGGUAACAGAAAGUGAUGUUAUCGAAUUCCUAGAUCAACUCUAGGACCAGCCUUUUAUAAUUAAUUAACUUGGGAUCUUUGGUCUCCCACUCACCAUUGAGUUGAUAGAUCACUAGCGCAGAAUCCCCAUACACCUCUAGUACCUUAAUUUUGCGUUCUAUUGCUGCACGAAUACCCAUGAUGCAUGCUUCGUAUUCUACCAUAUUAUUUGUGCAAUCAAAAUCCAAUUUGCAAGUAAAUGGAUAAUGACCUCCUUUUAGGGAUACCAAGACUGUCCCAAUUCUGUUGCCAACCAGGUUUGAUACUCCGUCGAAGUUUAGUUUCCAAUGACGAUCUUUUGGAGCGUCUUCUUCAGUGGUUGCCACAUACAUUAUAUCUUCAUUCGAAAAAUCAAAGUUCAGAGGUUCGUAGUCUUCUAGAGCUCUACUGGCCAGAAAAUCUGCUAUUGUACUUCCUUUACUGCUUUCUGGUUCAUAUAGACUAUGCCAAAUUUUUGAAAGCAGAAUUUGCCAUCGGGCCAUUCUUCCGUUCAAAGUAGUCGACUCAAUCAUUUACUUUAGAGGAUCGAGUUUUGAGAUGAGCAAAGUUGUGUGGUAUAACAUAUACUGUCUCAAUCUUCGGGUUGUCCAUAUUAAGGAACAACAUAACUUCUCAAUUUGUGAGUAUCUCGUCUCAGUGAACUUCUUACUGUGGUAGUAUAUCACCCUUUCUUUCCUUCCUGAAUCAUCAUGUUGGCCAAGCACACAUCCCAUAGAAUUCUCAAAUACUGCCAAGUACAGUAUCAGUAGCUUAUCUGGACUAGAUGGUGUCAGCACUGGGGCAUUGGACAAGUAUUGUUUGACCUUAUCAAAAGUUUUUUGGCACUAAUCAUCCUAAACACCUGGAUUGUGUUUCUUAAGGAGACGAAAUAUAGGGUCACAUUUCUUGGUCAAUUGUGAAAUGAACCAGACAAUGUAAUUUAGUCUUCCUAGGAAUCCUCGAACUUCUUUUUGAGUGCGCGGCAGAGGUAACUUGUAAUGACCCAAAAUCCGUGGGCACCGAAAAAGUGCAUUAUCGGGCCUCCGUCUUAGUGAAACGGGUUCGUAAAUAAUUAUUAGGAAUAAUUAUGAGUCUAGUUACAUGUCUAAUUAGGUUUUAUUUAGGUGAAACUAGUUUAAUUUAGAAUAAUUAGUAAAAAGGACUAGAUUGAGUAAAGGUUAAAAGUUUAAUUCUAAAACAAUAGAAAGCAAAAGGGAUUAAAAUGGCAAUUAAGCCAUUUGUAAUAAUUGACGCGGCAAAAUGGAUAGAAAUUUUUUUCUAAGAUUUUAUAAAUUAUUAUUGUUAAUAAUAAUAAUAUUAUUAUUUGAUUUAAAAUUUUGUUAUUAGAUUAUAAAUAAAUUAAAAUUUGUGCCAAAUGUAUGAUGAUAAAAGUGUACAUGUGUGAUAUGUGUAUUUAUACACAUGUAAAAUAUAUAUAUAUUUGUAUAUUUUCUUAAAUAAUAAGUAAAUGAUAAUAAUUAAAUUAUAAGAAUUUUUUAUAAUAAACAAAUUGAAUAAUGACAAGUGUAAUAAAAAUAUUGGUACAUUUGUUAUAAAAUAAUUUGUUUACUUAAUAUUAAAGUAAUACAAAAUAACUAAAAGAAAUAAGUAAAUAGAAUAAAAAGAAAGUAAAAGAAAGAAGAACAGAAAAGAAGCAGAGAGCAAAACGCAAACAGGAGAAGAAAAAGGGGAAGAAAAAAAAGGGGAAAAAUUGGGAUUUUAAAGCUUCAAGUUUAAUUGCUAAUAAGAAAAACGAGGCAUCGGAAUCCAAAGAAAAAGAAAAGAUCGUUGAGGAGUAAACGCGUAUUCCGGGUUUGUAUUACUAGAACUCAAACUAUUUAUUAAAUGUUAUAUUGAAUUUGUAGUCAUGGGACAUCUAGGAUAAGGUAAGUAAUAAUAUUUGAAAUUAAGUAAGAAUAUAUGUGAAUAUUGAAUUAUAUGUGAAUUGAGAUAAUAGAUGUUUUGAAUUGAUUGAAUAUUUGAAAUUGUUGUGGAAAUGAAUUCGAAAUUGGAAAAGUAAAAUAAUACCUUAUUAACUUGUCGGACUAGAUUGGAGACAAAUGGCAUGCCAUAGGAUUGUGAUAUGAUGAGAAGAUUUGUAGCUCGACCGAGAAGAUGAUUCCGUUAUUAUAUGCUUCGGUUUAAUCGAAGAGGCAUUUAAUGCCUUAUUGGUGCGUUUGGGAGGAUAUGAUAUACCGGUGUGUUUAGGAGGCUAUAUUAACUAGUGUGUUAUGGAGGAUUUAUAUUAUUCCAGGUGUGUUUAGGUUGGAUAUUCUAGUGUGUUUGAGUGGAGUAUGCCUAUCUAUCAAAGUCUGAGCCUUGUUAAUAGGGUAAAUAAUUGAAAUGAAAAUUUGAAAUUGAUUUGACACUACUGAAAAGUACGAGAAAGAAUGUAUGAAUUAAAUUAUGAAUUGAAUUAGUAUAUGAACAAAAAAAAGAAAUAUUAAUUUAAGAUUUAUGAAGUGAUAUAUAAUUAUGUAUAAUUAGUUUAAAUGAUUUAUAAAGCUUAUGGUUGAUACUGUAAUUUAUUAAUGUUAAGUAGUUUGGUUUAUAGUAAUACCACUGAGUAUGAAAUACUCAGCGUACGGUUGUUUCGGUGCGCAGGUCAUUAGAGUUCAAGAUCCAGUUCAGCAUCCAGAAAGAUCUCGACUCCAACAAGAAAAUUUUGGUGAUGUAUUUCUUCUUUUUGUUUAAGUGGCGUGUACUAGGUGGUUGUACAUGAGUCAUGUAUAUAUAUACAUAGGUUAAAUGAUCUUGUUGUAAUUAGAUAGUUAUGAAAUUUUGGAUGAUAAGUAAGUUUAAAGUUAUAAAUUAGUAAAUUUGGUAUUAAAUUUUGAAAUGAAAUAAAAGAUAUGAAUUAGUUCCUUAUAUGUUAACACUUUAAAAUUUAAGUAAUAAAUCAAUGGAUUAAGCAUGAUUUAGUAGUUUUUAAGAUGUAAAUUUUUUUUUAUUGAAACAUAGGUAUUGAUUUGUUUUUGGUUUGAAUUUUCAAGGGGUUUUAGGUAAAAAUAAGCAUAAAUACUGUCGAAAUUUUUGUAAAAAAAAUUACGAAAAAUUUUCUGAAAUACUCAAACAAGUCCAGUUCUACUUUUAAUACAUGUUUUGGGCUUCAAGAGUCGAAUAUAGGGACUUAAUUAUUAUAUUAUACUAUGGAUGUUAUAUUAAUUGUGAAUUAUUCGUAAGUUGUCUGAUAUGUCCUGUAAUGCCUCGUAACCCUGUUUCGGCGACGGUUUAGGGUUAGGGGGUGUUACAUAACUCCUGUAUAGCAUUGACUUUAAUUGGGUCAAUCUCAAUCCCUUUUUCGCUGACUACGAAUCCUAGCAGUUUUCCUGACCUAACCUCGAAGGUACAUUUUGCUGGAUUGAGCUUUAACUGAAAUUUCCUCAACCUCAAGAAUAAUUUCCUCAAGACUUGCGCAUGCUCCUCUUCUGUUCGGGAUGUGAUGAUCAUAUCGUCGAUAUAAACUUUAAAUUUUUUGUGCAUCAUAUAAUGGAACAAGGUUACCAUGACUCUCUGAUAUGUCGCUCCCAUAUUUUUCAGUCCAAAUAACAUUACUUUAUAGCAAAAUGUUCCUCGCAUAGUUACAAAUGUGGUCUUAUCCAUGUCUUCAGGAGGCAUCUUUAUUUGGUUGUAUCCUGAGAAGCCAUCAUGAAGAAGAAUAAUGAAUAAUCUGCUGUUUUGUCCAUUAUGGUGUCGAUAUGGGGCAAUGAGAAAUUUUCUUUUGGGCUAGCUUUGUUUAGGUCCCUGUAAUCUAUACACAUUCGUACUUUUCCAUAUUUUUUAGGGACGGGGACGAUAUUGGUUACCCAUUCUAAGUAUUUGACCACUUGUAAGAAACCAACAUCGAAUUGCUUAUUAACUCUUCUUUUAUUUUUAGCAAAACAUCGGGCCUCAUCCUUCGGAGUUUCUGUUGAACUGGCUUGCACUCUUCUUUUAUGGGGAGCCGGUGUACCAUGAUAUCAGUACUUAGUCUAGGCAUAUCUUGAUACGACCAUGCGAAAACAUCUUUGAAUUCUUGGAGUAACUCAAUGAGGUCUCGCUUUAUCUCUGUGGCAAUGUAAGCUCCAAUUUUCACUUCUUUUCCUUCUUCCAAAACCAUAAUCUCUACUGACUCUUUGUGAGGUAGAAUCUGUUUCUCCUCUUGUUCUACCAUCUUUAACAAAUCCAGAGAUAGGUUACAGUUUCUGUCAUCUUCAAAGUCCUAAGAUCUCUCUAGACACAUGUCUCGCUCAAAAUGAGAUUUUGGGUCAAUAGCAGCAUCGCUCAUGUCAUUAAUAUCUGGAGACCUGUUGUAGGUACGAAGGAAUACUCAAAGAAUAAAUGAAUCUAAGAACAUUUAUUUAUGUGGUAUGAAUAUGAAUGAAAUGAAGGAAUAAAAGAAUAUUUGCUCAAAGUGAGAUACAAAAAUGUAUUUUUCAUUGAAAUAAAGAUGUUGGACAUGAGCUUAUUUCACAAAAGGAUUCUUAUUGCUUCUAGGCUUAAAGCAACAAGCGUGUAUUGAACAUUACUCUGAAUCAGCUCUAAAAAUUAUAGAAAUCUCUUCUGCAGUCCAAUUGUUCAGAACACUUCCAGGCUCAUAAGGGCAAAUGCUCGAUAAAUUUUUUCUUCCAAUUCCUUCUUCGGAUAUAGCAUUGAUGCUCCAAUUUCUGAACAUUCCUUUCGGGCCUUCAGUAUAUUCAAAGAAUUCUAGUUCCUUAUUAUCCAUCAGGCCUUGCACCAAGGCUCUGAAUUCAUUGCACUUUUGAAUUUUGUAACACUCUUCAUCAUGGAACUCACAGUAGUUCCUUGCUUCUUCGGGUUUCUCCCCUAAAUCCUGUGUGAUUAAUCCUCCUUCUACCAUUUUCUUCCAAACCUCCCUCAAUGGGGUUUUCACUUCUGUUACAUAUGUCUUAAUUCUCUUCCCUACACUUUCGAUUAUCGCAUUUACCCCUUUUUCAGAAUGGUUGGGUAACGAAUUUUCUACACUAGAUGGAUCAUCGAAUUUCACAAUACUCAUUUUGAUGAGUCUUUUGAUUAUUUUUUAAAAGCAGUACAGUUCUCGAUCGAGUGUCCUGUGAUUCCCGCGUGGUAUUCACAUUGGGCGUUCGCGUCGUACCAUUUGGGGUAUGGGGGCUGCUUAGGUUUUAGGUAGAAAGGAGAUACUGCAUGUGCAUCAAACAAACUUUGGUACAACUCCCUAUACGUGAUUAGGAUGGGCGUGAACUGAAGUUUUUUCUGAGUUUGGUCUUGGAUUGGGUUAUUGCCUUGGGGGGAUCUGAUGGCUAGUAGUUACCGUCCUUGGCUAGCUUACGGUAAUCGGCUUUGAAUAGCCCUUGUUAUACAUACUCGCAUUAUUCACCUAAUUUUCCCUCUUCCUCAGUGCCUUUAAAGUAUUGAUUUGGGAGCUCCACUCUCGCAUUUUCCGCUUGUAACAAUCUUCAAAUUGUUUUGGGAACUCCACUCUCGCCUUUUUUUGUUUUCGCUAGAUCAUCCAGAUUAAUGACAAUAGGAUUGGUUAGACUAUCCCCCAGGUUAGAACCUGAACCUGUUGGGAAGUUCACCAGUGUCAAGGUACCAGUUUGGUAUUGGGGUCUGAUGUUAACGGACACCUUUUGUGGAUACGCGUUUGGUUGUGCUUGGGUGUUUGUUGGGGUAAAGGGUGGAGGAUAAGCAGGGUCCACGUUAUCGUCCCCGGAAUUGACCAUAUAGCUUUUUCCUUUUUCUAACCCUCCAGCCAGUGACUAAGUUAACUGGCUUAUCAUAUUUCUUUAGAAUUCUAGUAUCUGAUCCCUCAUAUCUUGUUGAAUUUUGGCCAAUUGCUCUUGCAUCCGUAUUUGCAUUUGCUCUAUUUCCAACCUUUGGUCCAUUUUUUUAGUUUUUACUCGUGUAUCGAUAUUCCAGGGUAACUGCCAAGAUUUUAGGGUCCUUUUGUGAGAUUUAAUGCAUAUGAUGCAAUACAAUGCUAAUGCAUGAAAUGAAUGCAAAAAAGAGGCGUUGAUUCUGAUUUAAUUCUGUUAGAACAAUUUUACUAGAAAACAAAUCUCUUUAGAUAAAACGGACACAUAUACGGCCUUGCCAUCAUACUCUAGGCGAAGACAUCGAUCCUUUUCUUCAUGUCCGGGUGUUAAGAUCAAAUCCCGUGAAUUUUCGAAGAGACACCUCUAUUAUCUCCUUUUUUCUUGAUCCAAGUUGCGACCCAUUGCUCACUCAUCUCCGUAAUGCUUGUCAGCUUCUUUAAGAAAGUCAGGACGUUGAUGGCUCUCGAAUAAUCUUUGUCGGCUUGAAUCCUCGGCCAAAGAAGUAAGGCUGUGUACUCUUUUAUAUACUUUCUCGAAAGUAAAGCAACUAUAAGGAGGGUUUUAAUACUGGGCGAAAGCUCGGAAUAGGCGUUCGUCUACCUUGAUAUCGAGUAGAUAGGGUAAAUUACCAUAAUAUAGUAGAAUAGUUGUUUGAUCUCGUCAUCCCACUAACCCCAUAUUUCUUUCAUCUCUUGAAGAUUAUUUUGGGUUACGCUGAUACGAGUGAAGUCCCAAAACUCCGAUACGUACCCCUCUGUAAGACUAUCACCUUUCUCUUGCUGCGUUGUCUCGGCCUAUAUCUGGACGGCUGCAUUAUCCUCCACUUUAUCAAGAAACCCCUUUUCCAUGAUAAGUUAUCUAUUUAGCAACCCCUUUUCCAUGGUGUAACUCUACCAAGGCAAGCUCCUACGGCUCAUUAUAUGUGGUUCGGUUCUAAAGUAAAGGUUCCUGAACCAAUAGAUUCCUCGUUCACCCAUUAUAGGCUCAUAUAGACUGAGUUCAGUUCAGGGGAAUACAUUUCGCUAUGGCUACACGGAGAUGAAAAUCUCACGAAGACAUAGGUACGGAUGUAUCCUGAAAGUGAUCCACUAUCCUACAAAGAGGUGAAAACCUCACGAAGGAGUAGUUUCUCACUCUCAUUUAAAAGGGUAAAAUUGACCGAUCAUGUGAUGCAAAUGUGCAGAAAUAUAUCAAGAACUCAAACCAGUAAAGCAUACCAAAAUGAUGAAGAUCGUAACAAAAACGAAUGAAAUACAACGAGAGGGUUGUAAAUUUAAACCAAAUUUUCAACUUUCGACAAAAAGACAAAAAGUAAUCAACUUGUGGCUUGACUCUCUUAUUUUGUGUCCCUGACGGAGUUGCUAAGCUAUCGAAACCAUUUUUUUGAAAAACGAGGUCGACUUUUAUUUUAAGAAUGAAAAUGGAAAAAACGGGAGUUGCCACCAAUCCUUUUUGAUGAUGUGUGAUCGGGUCACCUCGAAAAGUGGUUGUUUUCAAUAAACGGUUUGAUUUAUUAAAACAACGAUUUUGGCCCACGAAAUUUAAAAAGAGGGUUCGGGAUUCGGUUAUGCACGAGGAAGGAUUAGCACCCUCGAUACGCCCAAAAUUGGUACCUAGUUGAUUAAUUAAUAUCUUAGUGUCGAAAAUUGAGAACUUUGAAGAAAUUUAAAAUACAAUCCUUUGUUAAAAAGUUAUUUAACUGAAAAUUUUUCGAGAAAAGGGCAUAUCUCACGUUAAUCGAGAAAAAGAAUUACGUCCCGUAGGUUAGGACGCAAUGUCUUAAAUCUUCGAAAUGAGAAUAAACCCCAAAAAUUUUAUUUAUUUUGAAAAAAAUGACUAUCUCGGUUUUAGAAAGAAAUCAUAUUCCGUAAGUUAGAACACAAUCUUUUCUUAAUUUCCGAGAACAUUAAAAAUUUUUAAAACGUUUGUUUGGUUCGAAUUUAUCGAGAGAAUCGAAACCUUGUAAGUUAGGGAACGACUUUUAGAAUUUCAAAAUACGAAAUAUUGCUUAUUUAAAACAACAUUUUUAAUGUAUCAAGUAAAAUGUAACACGAAUUUGUAGUAAAAAAUGUAAAAAUAGUAACGAUAAAUCACAGUACUAAUAUGCAUAACAGAAUGGUAAUAAACGCGAUAAUAUAAAUGAGUAUGCUAAAAAAUUUAAAAUUUUAAAAAAACCUAAUAGUAAACAAAGAAAUAAAUAAAUAUUAUGUAAAAAAAUUUUAAAAAACAAUAAUAUUGAUAAUAACGAUAAUAAUAUUAAUAAUAAUACUACAAAUAAUAAAUAAUUUGAAGUUUGAAAUUAUAUAAAAAUGAUAUAAAUAAAUAAACAAUAAAAUGAUAAAAAGUAAUGAUAAAAUAUAGUGUAUUUAAAGAAUAAUAAUAAGUAAAUAAAUUCAAAAAAGGAAGACAAUAAUAAUAGUAAUAAUAAUUAAAUUAAUUAAUAAUAAAAUAAUAAGUAAAUAAACACAAAAAGAAAAUAUAAUUAUAAUAGUAAUAAUAAUAAAAAUAAUAACAAUAAUAAUAGUGAUAAAAUUAUAAUAAUAGUAGUAAUAAUAAUAAUGAUAGUAAUAAUAGCAAUAAUAAUAAUGUUAAAUUAACUAAUUUAAUAAUAAAAUAGCAAUAAAUAAAAAAAAGGACUAAAUUGAACUUUUAAACAAAAAGUUGGGGUAAAUAAGAAAUAAAUAAAAAUGAAAAGGACCAAGUUACAUGAGCGAAUAACAAAGAGGAACCAAAAGGGAAAUUUUCCUUUCUCUUCCAAAACGCACAGCAUAAGGGAGGACCAAAUUGAAAUCGAAAUAAAUAAUAGGGUAAAAAAAAAGAAAAACUUGAUUGCAAAACCAUAAAAAAGCGAAAGGAUCAAAAGGGUAAAUAACCCCUUUACGAAAAACGCGAAUAUCCUAGGCCAGAGCGGGUCGGGUCGCGCAGGUUGAGCAUAAAACGAUGUCGUUUUGGGGUUUAAGGACUCAGGCUGAAACGAUGUCGUUAUAGCCCUCUAUUUAAGCAAAUUUUCUAAAAAAAAAUCAUUUCAGCUCUUGUUUUUAAAAAAAAGACCUUCCUCCCUCUCUUUUUCUCUCUACAGGGCCUGCUGUCUGCUACCGUCAACCGCCGUGCAUGGCGGCCGAAACUCGAAAAAAGGUAAUUUUUUCUUUUUUAUUAUUUUUUUGAUAUAUUUAUAUAUAUAAGCUAUUUUUUAAAGGAAAAUAAGGAAAAUAUAGGCGUAUGUAUAUAUAUUCGAAUGAGGAAAAUAAAGAAGAGGAAAUAAAAUAAAUAAAUAAAAUGAAAAUAAAGACCUUAGCCCGUUUUUAUUUUCUUCCACUGCUUGCUGUUUUUUUUUCUUUCUAUUUGUUUGGUGUGUUCGAAUCUGUUUUUGUAUUCGAUAAAAUCCCCCAGAAUAUUACAAUGGAUUUUGAUUGGCUUUUAUAGCCAUUACAAACACUUUUAAACUUAUUUUAAUACUAUUGUUGCUUGCAGGUUCAACUUGAGGGCGAUGGACGUGACAAGGCGGUGGCAGCAGGCGGUGCAGAGGUUAGGACGAUGCGCCUAGGGUUCCAGAGACCCUAGAAUCAGUUUAGGUUUUGGGUUUCUAUUGGGCCAUUAAGGUUUGGGCCUGUUUUAGUGGGUCUAUAAUUGGGUUUUAAUGUUUUGGGCUAUUUGGGUUUUAGCUUAGGUGUGGAUUUGAGGUUUGGGUUUGGGGUUUAGUAAUUUGGGUAGGAGGUUUGGGUUGUAAUGGGACUGUGGACCUUUUGUUUUGAUUUUGUUUUAAUUUAUGGGCCCCGAGCUAAAUUGGGUUUGUACACAUAUAAUAUAAAAUAUUAUUCAAGUUUUUAAGAAUAAUGAAUAUAUGUUGUAUUUUAAAGGUUGAGCUUGAUUAUGAAGAUCGAAUUUAAUUAUAUUUAGAUGUAAUUUAAAGAAUGAAAUUUUGGGAAAAAAAUAUUAACGAGAUAAUAAAAAAAUUAAAUAAUUUUGUUAGUAAGAUUUUAACUUUUUUGGUAAAAUUUUAAACUCUUAGGUGCUGAAAUUUAAGUUAUUACUUAUUAGUAGACUGGUUUUUUUCAUUUUAUUUUACAAAAAUUAAAUUGCUUAUAUAAUUCAUUAGUAUUGUUAUAUAAAGUGGACUAAUUUUAAAUUAAUUCAUAUUUUUUCACUUGAAUUAAAAUUGCUAUUUUCUUAUAAUUAAAGUACCUUCAAUAUCUACUUUACCAUCCAUUAAAACUAAUUCAAUUCAUUAUCAAAUCAACCAAUUAUGAAUUAACCUAAUCCCAUUUUUUAUACAUUUCAAUACAAAAGAUGGCAAUUAAAUAUGUGUUCUUGUUUUUCUCCCUCAAAAAUGUUUAUUGGCAUAUUUGGGAAAAGUUUUGAAAACCAAAGAAUGUGCAGUGAAAUAUACUAUGGAAAUUUCAGGGACCUCAAAGGGACAAAUUCUUUACAUGGCUUGUUCUUAAAUAGAGGCUGAUGAUUGAUGUGGAGCGUGUUAAGAGGGGAAUAGGGUAUAAUAGCUCGUGUGGUAUAUGUGGUUAUCAUUCUGAAGAUAUUUUGCAUGUUUUCCGAGACCGUUCGACAACUAAAGAAAUUUGGAGGCAGUUAUCCUAGAUGAAACCAAUGGGAGCUUUUUUACAGGGGACCUUUUUCAGGGGUUAAAGUCUAAUUUGCAAAGCCUUGCAAAACCAGUCGUCGGUGAGGUAAAUUGGUCAUGUUUAUUUGGCUUACUAACCUGGUGAAUUUGGAAGAAUUAGAACCUUUUUAUUUUUCAAGGCGUCUCUUGGAACACACGUGAGAUUGUUAAGAUUUCAUAUAUAUGAGGACGUAUCUAAACGGAAUGAAUAAAUUUCAAUAGUCAAGAUGUCAAGAAGUUGGAUCAAUCUCUGCACUAAUAUGGUGGUCCAGAUAGUUUCGAGUGAUGUUGCAAUGAGGGAAGUCAUAAGGAAUGGAAAUUGGGAGUGAAUUAUGGGAUAAAAUAGAUAUUUGGGCAAAUGCUCACUCUUUGACGCUGAAUUGUGGGGUAUUCUUGACGGUUUAGCUCUAAUUCAGAACAUGUACUAUGAUGGUGUGUUGAUACAAAUAGAUAGCUUGGAGAUGGUUAAGGCUAUUCAAGAUUCCUCUUUGUCAAAUUCGAACUCUAUCCUCAUUAUACGUAUUUAUCAGCUGCGGUUGAAUGCAAGCUCGUGGGAUAUUCAACAUUUUCCAAGGGAUCACAAUAAAACUGUUGACUACUUGGCCAAGAUGGCCUUUUAUACAAAUCAAUGACUAAAGAUUUUUUUAUGAGAUUUUGAGAGAGGUACUCGUACUUUCUCCUAUGACUCAAACAAGUGAUAGUUCUAUUUAGAGAAUUAUUAUAUAAUUAAAAUAUUUUAUUUCUUUUACUUUACCAAAAAAAAUAUGUGUUAUUGUUUAAUUUCAGAUGUUUUAAAAUUUAUUAUUAUAGUAGGAGGAUAGGAUAGAUAUACUUUGAUAAAAGCUUUUACAUAUUUUAAUAAUUAAACCAUUAAACUUUAUCAAUUUAUAAAUAUAGUUAUUAUUAUCAUAUGAGUAAAGUUUCGAAUCGAUUCAACAAUUUUUUUUAUUGUUUUUGUCAAUAAAUAUUUAAUUUUAUAUCAAAUAAUAAACAUUUUUAAUUUAUUAAAACUCAAAUGUGCAUAAUAUAAAUAUUAAAAUAUUAAUCAUAAAAAAAUAAGAAAAAAGAACCCUCACUUUAUCGAGGAUGGAGCCCUAUUUAUUAAUUUGUGUGAUUUUCUACGCCGACUUCACAGAAAGCUUGUUCCAUUCCACACUCCACCGGUUUAUACAUAAACCAUCUCAACCACCGACUCAACAAUCAUGUGGACCCGUUCCACCUAUCUAUCAAUCACAGCCGUUCAUUUGUUCUAUAUCAAACUUUUUCCAUCACCCACUUAAAGUAACACACAAAUAAAACAUAAAUACUCGUAUAUAAUAAAAUAUGUAUACACCCACAACAGUCAAACCUCCCCAAUAUCCUUCACCCAUGAUGAAACCUCUGGGAAACCUCCCCCAAACCGAAGUUUUGGUUCCAUAAAUACAUAGUUUAGGCAUCCAUUGCCAAGAAGACCCUAAGAAAAAUGAAGUUAUUGAGAAGAUCAUCAUCAAAGGGUGGGCGAUCCAAGCCCAAUGAAGUUUGCAAAAGACACCCAAAGCAUCGCCAAUCUCCGGGGGUUUGUUCACUUUGUUUAGUCGACAAACUCUCUAAGUUACCAUCACCACCUCAUUGCACUUCCACUAGUCGUACUGCUACUAAACUUGCAGAUUCCAAUUGUUCUCCAUUAUCAUCAUCUUCUUCUUUGUCAUCUCCCUGUUCUUCAGCUUCAGAUUCAGCUUUAUAUUCUUCUUCUUCAUCUCCUAUGCAUCGUUAUCGUUUUGGUAAAGAUCGGGGUGCGGGCUCUUCGUUUUCUUUGUUAUGGUUCAGUGGGAAGAAUUUACUCACUAAAAGCAGAUCAGUAGCUUUUGUUUCGAGAAUCGAAAACAAUGGUUAUGAUGAUAAGAAGAAGAAGAUCAACGGUGGGUUCUUGUCAAAGUUAAUACAUUAAUGGUGGUGGGUUUUUUUAUUUGUUUUCAUGCACCAGUUUUCUUGAUAAAUUACAGUAGAAAGAAGAGAUUAUAUUAAAGCAGAAGAUCAAUUACAAUAUAUUAGAUAUAUUUUUGCAUAUAUUGAUUCUCGUAUUUUGAUUCAUCUUAGCAUAUUAUAUGUAAGGUAUUCUACUUUCCCAAACAUUUAUUUCACUAAUGUUUUAUUAUUCCCAUUUGUUGUUCUUUUCAUGUGAAGGGAAACGUUGUUUUAUUCUAUAGGUUUCGAGUUUUUCUUUUAGGUUUUCUCUAUAUAACUCACCCAUUAACUUAUAAAUUAAUUUUAAAACUCGAUUUAUAAAUUUAAUUCAAAUAUAAAAUAAUUUUAAAAUUCAUGGCUAACAUAUAUUUCUUAAUUAACCUAUAUAAUACGGAAAUUAGAUAACAUUAUAGUAUCUUGCAUGUCUAGUUGAAAAUUAAGAAAGAAUGGAAAAAAGCUUAUAAAAACCAAAGAAUAUAAAUACAGGCAAGGAAUUACAUGAGGUUUGCUAAAAUUCAAAAGAUGGAAUGCAGCAUGGUUUGAUGUAAUCAAAUAUAAAAAUCAAAUAAAAUAGGAAAGCCUAUAUUGACAGCUUGGUAAAAUUAAUACCACAUGCAUGUCUCCAGCUUCGUAGCAACUUCCUCCAUAUGAUGAUCAUCAGCCAGUUCAACCUUUUUGAAUCUGCCUCUCUCUUUACAAAAUUAUUAACAGCUGGCCAUAAACCCUAAAAUUCAGAUCAAAUACAUGUAAAUUCAAUAUUUUUAUUUAAAAUGAGUAACUCAACUCAUAGAUAGAAUAUAUUUCUACUAAUAAAACAAGAAGAAGAAGAAGAUGUCAAAGAUAGAUUAGCUAAUGUUAUCUUAACUGACCAUAGAAUUUAAAAUUAGCUUAAACUAAUAUCUUGGAACCAAACUUUUAUUCUAUUAACCUACCACUCUAUUAACAUGACACCUGUUCAUUGCCUAUUUUUUCUUUUAACAUGAUAAGGUAGUAGUUAAUUUUUACUUUUAAUUUUUUUAAUUAUAUAAAAAUAGUUUUAGAUUUAAUUUUUAUUUUUAUAGUUUAAUUUUGACAUGAUUUGACAUUUCAAUUUUUAUAAUGUCAAUUAACAUAAAUAUUUUAUUCUGAUAAAAAUGUUGAUGUGAAUUUUUAAAAAUUGUUAACAUACGAUUAAUAACUAUAUCUAAAUUUUUAUAUUUGAAAAGUAAAAGCUCUUAAAUUCUUGAAAAUAAAAAUUUAAAACUUAAAAUAUUUGUGGUUAGAUAUUGUUGGAGAUCGACCUGUAUAAAUAACGGAAUAGAAAAGUAGAGGAGAUCGAUCACAGAAAUUUUACGUGAAAAAUGAUAAAAAAUCACGGACAAAUAGAGGCUUCAGCUUUUCACUCAAGAAGCAAACAAAUAAGAGUACAAGAUGGAGAAAAUAAUCCCAAAAAAGCAAAACCAAAACCCGAAUAAAAACUCUCAAAAAGACUCUUCAUCAAUUCUCAUAUAAGAGAUAUUCUAUAAACUCUCUAAAACAGGGUUACAAAACCCCUUUAAAUAGGUUAAUAUUAAAGUUCUAAUAUGACUAAAAUAUUUCUAGAGUAAUCAGGGUGUAACUGGAAAAAAUAAAUCCUAUUGAACUGUCAAAACAUGACUACAUAAGUUGGGAAAACAUCGUGACGUUUAUGCUUUCCUCGCCAUGACAUCGAUGCCACGUUCAUCUUGGGGUUUCAUUGCGUCGGGUCUAUCUUGGGCCUUUUUCAAGUGCUCGUCGAUCGUCUUUUUAAUAGUUUACAAAAAAUUCAAUAAAUAUUGCAAGACACACCUCACACAUAUUAAUAUAAUUUAAUUUAAAAAAAAUUAACCUUUGAAAACUAAAAUAUUUGUGAUUACAUAUUAGUGAAGUUUACUUUAAAAAAUUCAAACGUGAUUAUGAAUUAAUUGAAGCCGAACAAUUUCAAUUAUUGAAGGAACCGAGCUUGAACCGCAAAAUAUAAAUUCCAGCUUCAAUAUAAAUAAUGGAGUUUGUAGUUGGUGAAUGAGAUUAAUCUAUAAUUACAAUUAAUAUGAUUUUUAAAUGGAACCAAAUUUUGCAAAACCAUAUUAUUGGGAAAAUGGUGAUAAGUAAACACAUCGGGAAGAUUACGUAAGAUAUUAAAUUCAUAAUUUGUGACAGAUUCAUUUCAUCAUGUGAUCAUCAGAGGUGACACCAAAGCAUCAGAUUUUUGAACUCCAUGGACCAUGGUUUUGAUCAUUGCAAAUCACUGUCUUUCCUUGGUUGUUGUCUGGUUUUUCUUUUUUUUCUUGUUUUUUUCUCUGAAGUAUCUGAACAAUAAUAGAUACUCAGAAUCAGACAUUGAUUUAAUUGGAAUGGAAAUGAAUUUCAUAUAUAUGAUGGUUACGUUUUAAUUUAAUCAUCGAAUUAAAGCUUUUCCAAACACAUUUUUUAAUUAAGCCAGAUUUUUAAUUUUUUUUUGAAUAUUAUGAAAAAGUACGGUGAAAAAUUAUAAUUUAUUAAUUUUAAGUGUUCAGUAUUAUUGUCAAAAAUUGAGAUUAAAAGUAAAAACGUUUAUUUUGGACAUUACAUUGAAAAGUAACAAAUCAAUUACACAAACAAUACUUUAAGUUAGUUAACUGAAAUAAUAUUUGAAGUAAUUUAAAUUAAAUAUAUAAGUCAUAUAUUAGAUAUUAGUAAUAUAAUAACAAUUACUAUUAAUUUGAUAAUAACAAUUAAUAUUACAAAGAUAAUACAAUAUAGUGUAUCCAAGUUGAAAUGAAUUCAUUAAACUACAAGCAAUGGCAUCCCUUGUAGCUUCCAUUUCAAAACCAUAUAUACAAUCAAAUUCACCGUCAUCGUCAGUUCCUCCAUCAUGCAUAUCUUCUGGCUCAGUAAUGUUUUUAUAUGUUCUAUCAUUAGUUUCAAAUUCCAUAAAACCCACUUCAUCUAAAUUUUCAUGUUUUUGGAUAAAAUUGUUAUCCCCAUUGUAGCAACAAUAAUCAACCUUUGUUUUUCAAAACUAUAACUUAGCAUAUCCUUUAAAUUGGUCCAUUUCUUUGAGGUACACCAAAAGUUCUCUCAAUCACUACCUAAUAAUGAAUGUGCAUGAUUGAAUACUUCUUUUUUAUUAGAUAAAAGUCUACCUUUACGAAGAUCAGGUAAACAAUACUACUCUCCUCUAUACAGUCUACGGAACCCUUUCAUUUUGGGAUAUCCAGAAUCAUCAACAUAAUAUUUUCAUACAUGUCAUAAGAUGAUAACCAUUCAAUUAAAGAACUUAUACUUUUUAUAAAUGAAUGAAUGAAAUAAUUUACAUUCGGUGGGUGUGGAUUUUGAGUUUUGGGUCUCGAAUUGCAUCAAGAAAUAUUCUAGUGUCAUGUGUUGAUUUUUUCCAUCUAGCCACUACAAAUGUGAAGCAUGUAUUAAAAUCACAUACAACCAUAACAUUUUGAGUUGGAACACAUUUUCUUCAGAUGUAAGGAAUUUGUUCAUUUGGUGGAAGAAUCGCCACAACAUAUGUACCAUCAAUUGCACCUAUGCAAUCCUAAAUAAAUAAUCAUAUUUAGUACACAUGUAUAUUCAAUAAUAAUAGGUAUAUUAAAAUAAAAUAUGAUACUUUGAACAUGUUACCUUAAAAUGCGACCUGUAUCUUGAAUCAUUACGUAUUUGUUCAGGUAUUGUACUAAAAGUUUAAUCAUUUGGUGUAAUUAUAUCAAUAGUCAACUAUGAAACUUUAUCAACAAUUGUGAAGUAUUGACUUAUAGUUGAUUCAGAUAUUUGAAAUCUCUCUCGAGAUUCAAAAACUUUUGCACCAACACCCUACAUAUGCAAACAGAUACCUAACAUUUCAUGAGAAGAAAUAUUUCUUGAAAUUUACAAAUCAUGUCGUGUUUUUAAAACUUUCAACAAGCUUUUAAAUACUAUUAUGGACAUCCUAAAAUUAAUCACGCAACGAGAUUCAUGACCAUUAAGGACCUCUCAAACCCAUGCAUCAAUUUAUUGCUUUGAAUUCAUGCAUGGUUGUUUCAAUAAAUUUUUUUCAUAAUAUAAUUGAACAACAUAUGUUGCAACAAUGAAUAACCUAUUAAAACUUUUCACACGUUGUAAAAUCUCUCUCCUUUUAUCAUCACUUCUAUCACCAUUGGAAUUGUUGUCACUACUAUUCAUACUCAUUCUUUGCGAAAAUACAUUCACAGUGGUCGCAACAUUUAAAAAAUAGAGAAAUAAUAAACAUGAACCAUUGUCAAACAAAAGUGAACAAAGUAAGCAAACAUACAACCAUUGUCGAACAAAAGUAAGCAAACAUACAACCAUUGUCAAACAUCAUGAAACAUAGGUGGCACUUAAAGUGUCCAAUGCAAACUAAUAUUUAAACAUACCAAUUAAAUAUAAAAGAAACAUAUACAAAUUUGAUAAUGCAAAUCUUAUGGCCCAAGAAGACUAGCAAAUUUAGAAUUCUCGAAUUCUCCUCCAUUUCUGUUUAAGUCACCAAACUCCAAUCUUAGGAGAUAUGGAUAGAAACACAAUUCGCUUAUCCUUGUUGAGUAAUAACUUCAGUAAGAAAAAUUACAUGGACUAGCUUUUUGAACUUCAUCUAACAAGCUAUCAAGCACUUUGAUAGUUUUUGAAUUUGAUAGUUUUUGAAAUUCCAUAUGGAUCCAUAGCAAAAGUCAAACUAGAUGUAGCUUGACCCAUGCUGUCAACAACAUUGCGUAGUUUAUCAAUUUGGCUAGAUAACUUUGCAGCUCCUGCCUUGAAGGAUUUUUUUACUAGUCUUAAAACGAGAAGAUCUUGCCUCGAUGAAUUUUCUUUCUUGUUGUAGCUCUUUAACAUGUUGAGGCUCAAGUGGCCUAUCAAGAGUUUGGGUGUCGCCAUUUAUGUCAAGUCUUACUGGAGUUGACAUAUGAACAUCAUUCAUUGGAUUUCCUUCAUUUUCUUUACGAGUCUCAUUGCCCAUGCUUUGUCAUUGGUUGCAACUGUUCACAUGAACAUUUGAUCCGACUUUCCUUUUAAUUCUGGAUCAAUGUCUGCAACUCUAAAUUCCUGAGCUUUGAGCACAGCUUUCAUAUAAAAUAAUCGUUAAGUCAAAAUUAAGAACCUUAUAAAUAAGCAAAAUAAAAAUGAUAAAAAAAAGCUAUGUACCUUUAGCCUACUCUCCCACCAAUCUUCCAAGACAUCAACUAUUCCUUUCAUAGGAGUCUACUCUAAGCUAGUAUCUUUCCCUCUAAGGUUUUGUCAUUCCUUUCAUUUUUUUUUCAAUAAGUCUCACCUAUUUUUUAAAUGUUUUUGUGUGUAAGCCUUGCCCAUUUCAUUCUCAAGUUUAGCAACUAUUUUUAGUCAUCUUUCUCUUUUGAAAUAAGUAUCAAGUCUAUUGUCAUUACUUAUCUCUUUAACAAAGAUAACAAAAUAUUGUUGUCAACCUCCUAUCCCAUAUUACUUUUGACUUUUCACCUUUAGAAAUUUCACUUGUUUCAAAAAGCAUAACACUUUUCAUCUAUCAUAUAAAACACUUUCGUUUAAAUACUUUAAUAGCAUACAACAUUUAACACAUGAAAAAAAUAUUUAAUUAAACUCAGAUUGUGCAUUGACACUUUACUAUCAUCUCAAUUUGCGCAUUAACACUACCAAAUCAUGCUUCCAGAAUCCACUUUAUAAACCCCAUCAAAGCCCAAAAAUAAUAACCCAACAAUAUCACAAAACCAAUAACAUAAAAAAAUGCAUUAAAAAAAUAUAUGUAGCCCACAUCAAAGCCACAGUAUUAUGCAUGCAAUUUUAUUUUUUUCCUUCAAAAUUAUAAAAAAUCAAAAUUAAAUAAAAUUAAUAAAAAAAAUAAUUCUAAAUGACUUAUCCUUUUCUAACCAAAAAUAAAAAAUAAAAAAUUCUCAUCCUACUAAUGAGAAAUUUUAUGGUGAGCUCCAAGCUCACACCAAAAUUUCUAAGAUUUAGCAAAAUUUUCAAGCUCACACCAAAAUAUCUAACUUCUAGAAUUUUUGGUAAAUCUUAGAAAUUUUGGUGUGCUAUUGGAGCUCACUGUAAAAUUUCUUUUUUUAUAUAUAUUCAGAUAACAUUACAUAAUUUAUCAGUAUUAAAUAAAAGAAAGCAAGCACACUUAUUUAAAAACAAAAGACACUAAAACCUUCAACAAUACCAUCAUAAUAAAACUUCGUUUGUUUCAAUGUAAAAGCUUUUAUAGAAAAAAAAUUUCAUUCUUUUUUAAUUUUUUUUGAAGUAAAAUAGGAUGGUCAACGUAAAAAAUUUUCCAGUCAACGUAAAUUUAUCCCAUUAUUCCCGUAAAAUGGCUUACCAAACAUUUUUCAAACUAAUAAGGCUCUGUUCACUAUAACACCCCCAUACCCGACACGAACAUCAGAUCAAAACUCUAGGAUGUUACAUUCUCUACUACAUUCUUCACUUAUCAAAUAUUUUGUUAUAAACUUUAAUACUUUUUCAGUUUAAUCCCUUUUUGUCAUAAAAAUUCAGUAUUCACUAAUUAAUCAUAUUAAAUCAAUUUUAUUUCUUGUUACCCUUUAAUCACAUAAUUUAUCUCAAUAUCUUAUUUCACAUAUUAAAUUUCUAUGUUUUUCACUUCUAUUAUUUCAUCCACAUAUUUUCUCAAGUUUAACAAUUUAGUCAUUGUCAUCAUAAAAAUUCCACAUUUUCCCACAAUUUCACUUUUACAAUACUUUAUGCAUAUGUUAUCAUCUCAUAACACAAUCAUUAAACUUUUAUCACAAUUUCCUAUCACAAUUUCCUUAUUCAGAUAUUAAAUUGUUUCACACUUAAACUUUUGUAAAUUUUUCAAUUUAGUCUUUAUUGUCAUGUAAUUUAUUUUCACCAUAUAAGCACUUUAAUCAAACAAUUCAUUAUAAUAUGUUAUUUCACAUAACAAAAUUUCAUGCAUAUCAAUUCGCUUGUUUCAAUUAUAAAUUUUAAAAAGGUUACAAUUUAAUCCUUAACAUCGUGAAGACUUAUUAUUUACUAUAAUUUCACCUUAACAUCACUUUGUAAUCAAUUAACUGCUUAUCUAAAAUCUUAAAUGUAUGUUUGUUUCAUUUGAAAAUAAAUUUUAUGAAAUAUUUUCAGGAAAUUUUCCAAACAAUAGAAAAUAUUUUACAUAAAUUCAUUCAAACACUAGAAAAUAUUAGCUUUUCUAGAAAAGCAAGUCAUUUUCCAAAAAUCAUUUUCUGGAAGCCAUUUUCAAUGAAACAAAUAGAGCCUUACAUGUGCAUAAUUAAAAAAAAAAGUAGAUGACAAAUUAUAACUUACUUUAUUAAUAUGAUUAAAAAUAAAAAAGAAACUAGAAUUAAUUCAUUAAGGAACUGGGCAUGCCUUCAACAACUUGCUCUGCAAUUUUUUUAUUGAAAUAGAGGUUUGAAAAAUGGCUUAACAACAAUUGAUAUUUUUCAAAUACACCCCAAAGCUAUGCUUGAGUAAAGGCUUGCAUUACUUCAUUUUCUACUUAGUAAAUAAGAGUAAAGUAACAAAGGUAAAAUUGUAUUUUUUCACCCCGAAAUAGCCAAAGCCAACAACCACUACACUUGAUACCAGUUUCUCCGUUUGGGUUAAUAACCACUUCUUAAAACUGCUUUUAGUUGAAAAAGCAAUCUGUUUGGGAUUGCUUCAGUGGUUUAAAAGUGCUUUUAGACUUCUAAAAGCAUUUUCGAGCAAGCCCUUAGUCAUGUUUCAUAAUAAUUCUUUCCAACAGAAGAAUGAUGAAUUUAUUGGUACCGAAUUAUCACAACUUUAAUAAAUAUAAUAGCGUGACGAAAAUUGAGAUACAAACCAGAAAGUUCUUUUGAAACAAUAUGUCUUCUAAGUGAUAAUGUAAAGAAGUUUUAUUGCUUGUCAUCCCCUAAGAUACAACAAAUCAAUCACCCAUUGUACAACUUGUUAAUUUGCACAAGUUAAAAGAUAAAAAAAUCCAUUACAAUGAAAGUUUCUUCACCCAAUUUAUUAGCUUGUUUGAAAAAUCUAGGAGUAUCUUUUAAAAGAAACUUUAAAGAUGAUAUUGUAGAUAAGGAUAACCACGAAUCCUGAAAGACUCAGUUACUGUAGAACGUAAAACAGACAUAAAUGAUACAUUAAUUAUACCAAAAAAAAAAAGAAACCUCAUAAAACUUAGAACGAUAAAUUAAAUUAAACAACUAUUAUAAGUUAUAAAAAAAAUGUGGACUUCACUUCUUUUAUUAAACUACACUAAGAAUCUCCCACUUAUUUUAAUAAAGAGAUUUAAAUACGAAUUUUUCAAGAUAAAAAAUUAUGUGUAAUGUAGGUGUUAAUGGCUUGAGCCUAACACUUGCUCCACAAUCUCUACUCUAAAGUCAACAAUGAACUAAGUCUUGCAAUGAUCUUGAUAAGCCAACACGUUAUGGCCAUAUGAGUUCUUUCAGUUAUCAUGAACAUUCUAGAGGAUAAACUCUAAUUCUCAUAAGAAGCAGCCUUUAUCUAAUUCUCAUAAGAAGCAGCCUCACUUUUACACUCAUAUAGGUGAGACUAUCAAGGAUGCUCUUAUAACUCUACAUCUCGCUCAAAUGAGCUAUAGCCCUCAUUAAGAGUAUAAAUAUACCCAACCUCUGUAACACCCUUAACCUGUAUCCGUCACCGGAAUAGAGUUACGAGGCAUUAUCAGACUUAUACACUAGCAUUUAUACAAAACUGAGUCAUAAAUUUGCAUUCCAAAUCAAAACUUUUCAAAUUUCUCCACAAAGUCCCUAAUAUGGCCUUACGGGGCCCAAUACAUGCUUUAGAAGUGAUUUGGAACUAAACCAGUAGCUUCGGAAAACUUUGAAAAAAAUUUCUUGAAGUUAAGGGCACAUGCCCGUGUCGCCAGCCCGUGGGCAAUUUUGACUUGCAAUUUCUUAAGCAUCAAAGGGGCACACGGCCUGAGCACACACCCAUGUGGCUAGGCCUUGUGGUAAACUAAUUUUUCACCAUUUUUACGCCAUUUUCACACAAUUUUGACACACGACCAUGCUUGAAACCCGUGUCUUUCACACGACCAAAACACACGGUAGUGUCUUUUGCCCAUGUACUAUUCUAACUUCAUAUUUAAAGAUGCAAGGGACACACGGUCAUUUCACACGCCCGUGGGCUUACCAUGUGUCACGCACGGCCUAGACACACGCCUGUGUGUCAAACCAUGUGGACGAAAAUAGGUCGUUUUAUGCCACUUUUCUCACCCCAAACUUUAUCAUUCAAAACAACAUGUUUUUAUAUUAAUCCACAACAUACCAAUAUCAAACAUACUCCACUAGUCACUCUAAUGACUUGAUUACAAACUGAAAUAUUAAGUUGUUAUUUGACCACAAAAGCUUAUACAUGCCAUUAUAACAAAAUAGAUUUGUCAUUUUUACCAAAAUGAAAGGAUUGAUAGUGUGAUAAUAGCUCCGACCCAAUUCCAACCUUCACGAGCUUUAAGCACUAUAAAAUAGGAAAAAAUAUAAACCUAGUAAGCAUUAAUGCUUAGUAAUUUCAUAUAACCAAACUACAGUUACCAUUAAUGUUCAUUAAGUAAUUCAUACAUUAAGUAAUAUGUCCAUUAACUUAGUCAAUUAGCAAUUAAGACCUAUACACAAUCAUUCAACCAAUUGAUUAGUUUCCAAAAAUACUAAAAUGCAUAGAUGAGCUCAUUAUGCCAUUUCUUUUUAUAUCACUACGUAUGUCAUUACUGCUGAAUUAUUGAAUUUCCGAUGGACCUUUCCUUUUCCAGUUGUACACUUGAGGUGUACACUCCUUUCCAAGUGGUACACACAAAGUAUACCUUUUUCUUUUCAUAUGGUAUACACAAAGUAUACCUAACCUUUCCAAGUGUACACACAAAGUGUACAUAACCUUUUCAAGUUGUACCAUUUGGGUAUACAAAUCAUUUUCAAGUAUUACCCUUUUGGUUUACAUUCCUUUUCAUAAUGAGAUCAAAAGAUUAUCCUUUCGGAAUAACCUUUACUGCAACAUAUGCAGGAUCUCAUAUACAUGGUAAUCACCUGUCCAAUCGGAAAUCAAUAUUCAAACGGAUUCAUGUAAUGUUUCAUCAUUUACAUGUAAACCACAAAUCAACAUUAGUUUAUUACAUGUACAUACCAAUUACAAAUCAUGAUGCACAUAAUUCAACAAUCAAUUCAACACAUUUACAUGCUUAAUUUAGUUAUACGAACUUACCUUGACAAUUGAUCGUAUUUACUUAUCCGAAACUUUUUCUUUCCCUCGAUCUUUUUGUUUGACAUUUUUGGAUCUAUAUAAAUAAAUUUAAUCAUCAAUUCUAUGAUUUUUACAUUCAAUCAAGCCCAUUUCACAUUUUAGGAAAAAGUACUAUUUUGCCCCUAAACUUUUAAUAAAUUCCAAUUUCGUCCCUAGGCUCGGAAAUUGAAAUUCAUGCAAUUUACUUCUUAUUCCAAGCUUAUUAAAAAUUCCAACAUAACUUUUACAGCACAUGUAUUUCAUAAAAUUUAAAAUUUUCCAAGAAUUUCACUACUUUGCAAUUUAGCCCCUACAAAUGUUUUCACUAAAAAUAACUUUGUAAAAGUAGUUUAUCUAUCAAUAAUCUUUCAUUUUCUAUCAAAAACUUUCAAUUUACAGCAUAUUCAUCCAUGGGUAAUUUUCUAAACUUUAAUUUCUUUUAAAUUUAAUCCCCCAAAUAAAUAGAUUAAUCUUUCCUGAUUUCAAAUAUAUAAAAAUCACUAAAAACGGGACAUAGAACUUACCAAUUCAAGCUUGAGAAAUUCCCUUUCUCUAUCCUAGGGUUUCCAUAUAUUUUAUGGAGAAGAUGAUGGUAUAAAAUAAGUUUUAUUCUAUUUAAUCUUUUAUCAUAUAUUAAUUUAUUCACUUUCCAAUUUUGUCCUUGCAUCUUUUCAAUUUUCCAUGGAUGAGUCACUAAAAAUAUCUACAUGUUUUUCAUCAAUGGCCUAAUUUCCAUAUAAGGACCUCACAUUUUGAAUUCUCUAGCAAUAUAAUCCCUAUAGCUAUUAGAAUACAACUUUAACAUUUUAUUCAAUUUAGUCCUUUUUGCAAUUAGACACAUAAUUGAUAAAAUUUUUCUAUAAAAAUUUUCAUGCAAUAUUCCUAUCAUAAUACCUAUCAUUUUAUGAAAUUUAAAUAAUUUCAUUUUUUCGACUCGGAUUUGUUGUCCCAAAACUACUAUUCCGAUUUCACUGAAAUUAGACUGUUACAACUCUCCCUUCCUAAGGGAUUUUUGUCCUCGAAAAUCUUACCAGUGAAGAGAUUCGGGUACUGCCUUUUCAUGAUAUCUUCAGGUUCCUAAGUAGCUUUUUCAAUUCCAUGUUUCUGCCAAAGAACCUUUACCAAUGCUAUCUUUUUAUUUCUCAACUCUUUUGUUUCCUAUGAUAAGAUAUUAGUUAAUUCCUCACUAUAUGUCAUGUCGGGCUGAAUUUCCACUUUUUUUGGAGAGAUAACAUAUGAUGGAUCCGAUUGAUACCGUCUUAACAUUGACACAUGAAAAACAUUGUGAAUUCUUUCAAGUUCUGGCAGCAAUACUAACUGGUAAGCUACCGGUCCAAUUCUUUCAAUGACCUCAUAUGGUCCAAUAAACUGAGGACUUAAUUUUCCUGUACGGCCAAACCGGAGAACUUUCUUCCAGGGUAACACUUUCAAGAAUAUCUUAUUACCAAUCUAAAACUCAAUUUCUUUUCUUUUAAGAUCCGCAUAAGACUUUUGUCUGUCUGAAGCUGUUUUCAGGCUGUCUUGUAUCACCUUUACCUUUUCUUCAGUUUCCCAAAUUAAGUCAAUGCCAUGAAUAUUCUUUUCACUAAGCUCUGUCCAAUACAAUAGAAUUCUACAUUUUCGACUAUACAGAGCUUCAUACGGUUCCAUUUUGAUGCUGGAUUGGUAACUAUUAUUAUAAGCAAACUCAACCAAAGGCAAAUACUUUUCCCAGUUACCUUUAAACUCAAGUACACAACACCGUAACAUGUUUUCUAAAAUCUAUAUCACUCGUUCUGAUUGGCCAGAAGUUUGGGGAUGAAAUGCAGUAAUAAAAUGUAACUGUUUCCCCAGUGCUUCUUGCAAUUUAUACCAAAAUCGGGAUGUAAACCUAGGAUCUCUAUCAGAGAUAAUAGAAACCGAUACACCAUGCAAUCUAACAAUUUCAGAGACAUACAAUUUAGCCAACUUAUCUAAUGAAUAGUCCAUACAUACUGGUAUACAAUGCGCCGAUUUUGUUAACCGAUCCAUAAUUACCCAUAUAGAAUCUCUCUUUCUCGGAGACAUAGGUAAUCUCAUUACAAAAUCCAUGGUAAUUCUUUCCCAUUCCCCCUCCGGUUUAUUGAUUGACUGUAAUAACCCUGAAGGCACUUGAUGCUCAGCUUUAACUUGUUGACAUAUUAAACAUUUGACUACGAAUUCAAAAAUAUCUCUUUUCAUUCCCAGCCACCAAUACAUCUUUUUCAAAUCAUUAUACAUUUUAUUACUACCAGAAUGAACUGACAUUAUACCAUUAUGAGCUUCAUACAAAAUCUUUUGUACCAGUUCUGAGUUCUUCGGAACACAUAUUCUGUUUUUAAACAACAAGCAAUCAUCAGACCCAAUUUGAAACUCUGAAUCAGAAUUCUUUUGACAUUGCUCCCAUUUAACUUGCAACUCAUUGUCUGUAAUGACCCAAAUUUUAAGGUCAUUGGAAAAAUUGAAAUUUUCGGGUCAUUAUUUUUGCAAAAUGAAUUCGUAAAUAUUUAUUAGAAAUAUUUACAAAGUUAGUAGUGUAGUUGAUUAGACUUUGAUUAAGUGAAUUAGCUUGAAUUAAGGCUAAUUUAGUGAAAGGACAAGAUUGAAUAAAGUGUGAAGGUUUAAUUAUAAACUGUAGGAAAGCCAAAGGACUAAAUUAGCAAUUAGGCCAUAAGGUGACAAAUGUAUGGUAAAAAUAAAUAAAAUGUGUAAAAUUAUAAAUGGUACACAUGUAAUAAACAUGUGUAUUUACUUAUUUUAUAAGAAAAUAAUAAUAAUGAUUAAAGUAUAUUAUAAUAAUAUAAUAUACUAUAAUAAAGUAAUUAAACAAAACAAAUAAAAUAAAAGAAUGAAUGAAAACGAAACAAAUUAGGGAAAGAAAGAAAGAAAAAGGGAAAGAAAAAGAAAAGGAAAAUUUAGGGUUUUGGAGUUCCAAGCUUGAUUGGUAAGUCAAUUUGAUAUAUUUUCUUGUAAUUUUAAUGUCUAUGGAAUCCUAGGAAAGAAUACUACUUGAGUUAUGUUGAAAUUUAGAAAGUUAUUGAAUUUUUAGAUGUUGAUUAAGUUGAAUAAAUGGAAGAAUUAAGUGUUAAUUUGAUGGAAAUUCAAGUUAGAAGUGGGAGAAUGAUUAAAUUGUGAAAGAAAAUAUAUUUCUUGCAAUAAUAGGGAUUGAUUUGAGAAGAUGUUAUAAUUAGUGUUUCAUGCUGUAAAUUUAAGAGCUGGAAUAGUUUAAAAUGAUAAUUGGAUGAAAAUAUAGGAUUUGUUUUGAAGAAAAAGAAUGGUUAUGGUGGAAGGACUAAAUUGGAAUUUAAGUAAAAGAUACAUGGAAAUACAAGAGUGUGUUAUUAAAUAAUAUAUAUUGAUAAUUUUAAAUUUUAAAUUUUAUGUAGCCAACGUAGCACGGGGAACAUCAUCGAAAAAGGGAAAGGAGAAAGUGAAUGAGGAUAUCGAGUAAACUCGAGAAAUUCGGUUUGUAUUUCUAUAAACUAUGCUUAAUGAUUUAAUACAAUGUAAUUUCUAUUCUUAGUAGUUACAAUGUAUAAUGAAUGAUAUGAUAGAAAUUAUUACUGCUUUUGUAUUGAAAUGUAACGAUUUGUACACCCUAUCAACAAGUGUCGGACUAGUCGGAUAUAAUUGGCAUGCCAUAAGAUUGGAAGUGUUCAGGGAUAUUCUGACUGUGUGUCGAUGAGACACUAUAUGUGUCAACUAUUGUGACUGUUCCGGAUUCGUUCCGAAGGGGUACUCUGUACCUAACUAUGACUGUUACUACUACUAUUACUAUUACCCUACGGUGUAUUCCGGUUUCGGCCGAUGAAACACUGUACAUUAUCCCCGGUGUGUGGGUUAGAUCCGUGUAUCCAUCUAAUUCCGAUUUAUGUUAAUAGGGGUAAUUGAAAGUACUAAGGACAAAGACUGACUGCUAUUGAUUAUGUGACUGUGACUGUUAUACAAGUAUUGAAUGAUAUUGAAUGAUAUGAAAAGUAUAAAAAGAAUUGUUUAAAUACAUUUAAGAGCUAUAAGUUAAAGGUAAGUGAUGAAGCUAAUAAGAUUAUGAAAUAAAAAGUUAUCUUACAAUGUAUAUACAUGGCUUAUUAUUGUUUUAAGUAUUAGUUUAUAGAAAUGCCACUGAGUGUAUACUCAGGGUACGGUAUGUUUCUGUGCACAGUUCUAGGUAAGACUCAGCAUCCAAGCCAAUCCCAGACUCAAAGUGGUGAAUACUUUUCUUUUGGUAAAAUGGCAUGUACCAAGGUUGUUAAGGUGUUAUUUUGUAUAUGAUAGUGUAUAAACAUGAAAGUUGUUGAAGCAUGGUAUGAAAUAUGCAUUUUUUGGAAGCUAAACUUACAUGAGUUUGACUAGUAUGAUAAUGUUGUAUAAUUUUGAUAUGAAUUGUGGUACAUAAUUCUUCAGAGGUAUUGAAGUGAAUGAAUGAAUAUGAAUGAAUGAAUGAAUGAAUAUUGAUAUGAAUGAAAUAUGCAUAAAGAAUGAUAUUUGAUUUAAAAACUAUUAGUAAAUAUUUGAGCAUGAAAUAGAUGUGUUUAGCAUGUGAAAAUAGCUUAAAAAUGGUCAGGUCAAAAAUCAUGUUUUCACACGGCCAAGUCACAUGAGCGUGUGCCCAGGCCAUGUGAAUUAGUCAGAAUCUGCCCAUGGCCUAGCCCCACGGCCAUAUCCCAGGCCACACGGCCAUGUCCCAGGCCACACGAACGUUGCCUCUAUCUUCAAGGAGAAAUUUCUAAAGUUGCCAAUUUAGUUCCGAAUCACUUCUAAAACAUAUAUUGGGCCCCAUAGGCCUAUAUUAGAGACUUUAAGAUGAAAUUUGAAAGGUUUUGAUUUGUAAUGAAAAUUUAUGACUCGAUUUUGUAUAAAUUCUAAUGUAUAAGUCCAGUAAUGCCUCGUAACCCUAUUCUGGUGACGGUUUGGGGUUAGGGGGUGUUACAUUGUCACUCUUCUGUGCUUCAUAGAUUUGUUGUAUAAAUAUCAGUCUAGCUUUCAAUUCAGCUACAACCGAACCAUCAUCUAAACAAGAUAACCGGGUGUUCUUGCUCUUAAAGUAAAUAAAGAUUUCCUACUCAGUGUAUCUGCCACAACAUUAGCCUUUCCCGGAUGAUAGUCAAUAAUCAAAUCGUUAUCUUUUAUUAACUCAAGCCACCUGCGUUGCCUCACAUCAAGUUUUUCUAUAUCAUUAAAUACUUCAGACUUUUAUGGUAAGUGUAAAUAUGACAUUUUUCACCAUAUAAAUAAUACCGCCAUAUUUUCAAUGCAAGCACUAUGGCUGCCAAUUCAAGAUCAUGUAUCGGGUAAUUUCUUUCAUGUGGUUUAAGUUGACUUGAAGCAUAGGCAACCACUUUACCUUCUUGAUUCAAAACACAACCUAAACCAUUUAAAUAUGCAUCACUGUAAAUUACAACUUCCUUACCCGAUUCAGGUUGUACUAAUACAGGUGCUUCAGUCAACACAGUCUUCAAUUUAUCAAAGCUCUGCUGACAUUUGUCAUUCCACUCGAACUUUACACAUUUUUGUAACAGACGAGUUAUUGGAAAAGAAACCAUUGAAAAUCCUUUAACAAACCUCCGAUAAUACCCGGCUAAACCCAGAAAACUUCUGACCUCUGAUACGCUCUUUGGUGAAUUCUAAUUAAUAAUUGCUAAAAUUUUGCUCAUGUUAACCUUGAUGCCUUUAGCAGAUACGAUGUGACCAAGAAAAAUGACUUCAUCCUCAAAUGUUCAGCAUGCUCAUCUUCACUUCGGGAAUAAACUAAAAUAUCAUCUAUGAAUACCACGACAAACCUAUCUAGGUAAGGUCUAAAAAUCCAGUUCAUUAAAUCCAUAAACACUGCUGGUGCAUUUGUUAAUCCAAAUGGCACCACCAAGAAUUCGUAAUGACCAUAUCUAGUUCUGAAAGCUGUCUUUGGAACAUCUGAAUCCUUCACCCAGAGCUGGUAAUAACCCGAACGAAGAUCAAUCUUUGAAAAUACAGUAGCUUCCUUCAACUGAUCAAAUAAGACAUCAAUUCGAGGUAGUGGAUAUUUAUUCUUUAUAGUGACUUUGUUGAGUUGCCGGUAAUCAAUACAUAACCUCAAUGAUCCAUCUUUCUUCUUUACAAAUAACACCGGAGCAGCCUAUGGUGAGAAACUAGGUCGAGCAAAACCCCUCUCAAUUAAUUCUUGUAACUGCACCUUCAACUCUUUCAACUUGGCGGGAGCCAUUCGAUAAGGUGCUAUCGAUAUUGGUGUUGUUCCCGAAAUUACAUCUAUAGAGAAUUCACUUCUCUGACAGGUGGUAAGCCAGACAAUUCUUUCGGAAACACAUCUAGAAACUCACAUACAACUGGCACAGAUUGAAUCUUUGACUCAGUUACCUUAAUAUCCAACAUAUAAGCAAGAUAAGCAUCAUAUCCCUUCCUCAUACAUUUCUGUGCUGCUAUUGCUAAAAUCAUAUUAAAUAAUCCAUCUAGCUUGUCAGAUUCAACAUUAAGUAACUCACGGUCUUAACAUUUCAACACAAUAUACUUCUGCUUAUAAUUAACCACUGCAUCAUGUUGGGUUAACCAAUCCAUUCUCAAUAUCAUAUCGAAUUCAUCAAAAGGCAGUAGCAUUAAAUCAACUAAGAAACAUUUACCCUUUACCAUAAGUGGAUAGUUUUUACAAACUUUAUCUACUUUUGUACAUUGGCCCAAAGGAUUUUAAAGUUCCACCAUAAAUUCAGUGAAUUCAACAGGUAAAUUUUUAACAUUUACUAAAUUUAUGCAUAUAAACUGUGGAACCUGGAUCAAUCAAUGCAAUAAUAUUAGUAUCUAGUAAAGAAAAAGUACCAGUAAUGACAUCUGGCACUAGAACAUCUUCUCGGGCCCGUAUGACAUAUGUUCUUGCAGGAGCUCGAGCAUCAGAUUUAGCAGUUGAAUCUUUUGUAGCGCUUCGGGUACCACUAAAAUUUUUAGGGUGUCUAGGUGGUCUGCCCCUUAAAGUAGUGUUGCCUGGUUUUAAAGUCUGUUCAGCAUCUCUUUCUACUAUUUUUGGACAACUUUCAAGAGAUGAUCAAAUAAACCACAUUUGUAACAUACAGCGGUGUUCAUUCAGCAUUCACCAUAAUGAAAUUUGUUACAGUGUUUACAUUUUGGCUUCGUGUUUCCCACAUUUCCAAACUAGUUACUGAUGGUGAAGAAGACUUGGGAUUAAAGCGUUGAAAACAACACUCGUUGCCGAAAUACCCAGCUUUGAAGAAAAUAAUUGAGACCUACCAAUAGGUCUUUUCCCAGAGGAUUGGGCUUCUUUGUUUGCCUUCUUCUUUUCUUUACUUAGCUCAUCAGCUUUCUUUGCAUGAUCAAUAAGUGCUGCAAACUCUCUUAUUUCUAAAAUGCCAAUCAGUAAUUUUAUAUUUUCAUUUAAUCCUUCCUCGAAAUGUUUACACAUUUCUGCCUCUGUUUGUACCCAUUUACUAGCAUAUUGGCUUAACAGUGCAAACUCUCUUUCAUAUUCCGCAACGGUCCUAUUCCCCUGUUUUAAUUCUAGAAAUUCUUUCCUUUUCUGAUCUAGGAAUCUUUGACUAAUAUAUUUCUUUCUGAAUUCAGAUUGAAAGCAUUCCCAAGUAAUCUUUUCUUUUGGAACUACUGAAGUUACAGUUUUCCACCAGUGAUAAGCCGUGUCCUUUAACAGAGAUACAGAACAUUUCAAGCAUUCAGCUAGAGUACAUAAUAAUUCGUCCAACACUCGAGUAGUAUUUUCCAGCCAGAAUUCAGCUUUUUUCAGAUCAUCAUCGAUUGUAGCUCUAAAUUCUUCAGCCCCAUAUUUUCUGAGUUUAUCCACUAGAACCUUACUAAUUCUAAUAGUUUCAGUACCCGAUAGUCUCUCAAGAAUAGUUUGAGUAUUUGAUGGGGAGGUUGUGAUUGAAAAGCAGCAGAAUUUCUUUUCAAAUAUUCAGGAAACCAUUUAUCCAACAUUUCAAAGAAAACCUCUUUAGCAUAUUCACUUCGACCUUCUGAUUCAGACCUUCUACUACUACUACCAUCUGUAGCUCGUCGAACGAAAGCUUGAGAAGUACUCUCAGCUUCUUUAGAUUCUGCUCUUGCUCGGUUGGAAAACAUUUACUAUAUGAAAACACAUUUAAAAUGGUCAGGAGAUAUCACACUAUCAUCAAUUAUAUAAUGACAUGUAUAGUUAAAUUCACACUUGCUACGUUAGUCCGAGAAUUGGCUAAACCAUAGCUCUGAUACCACUAAAUGUAACACUCUUAACUCGUAUCCGUCACUAAAAUAGGGUUACGAGGAAUUACCGAACUUAUACACUAGCAUUUAUACAAAACUGAGCCAUAAAUUUGUAUUCCAAAUCAAAAUUUUUCAAAUUUCACCAUAAAGUCCCUAAUAUGGGCCUACAGGACCCAAUACAUACUUUAGAAGUGAUUUGGAACUAAACCGGUAACUUUGAAAAACUUUGAAAAAAUUUCUUGAAGUUAGGGGCACAUGCCCAUGUGGCCAGCCUGUGUGGCUACCAUAGCCGUGUGGCCAGCCUGUGGGCAAUUUUGACUUGCAAUUUCUUAAGCAUCAAAGGGGCACACGGCCUGGGCACACGCCCAUGUGGCUAGGCCUUGUGGUAAACUAAUUUUCACUAUUUUUACGACAUUUUCACACGAUUUUGACACACGACCAUGCUUGAAACUCGUGUCUUUCACACAAUAAAAACACACGGCCGUGUCUUUUGCUCGUGUACUAUCCUAACUUCAUAUUUAAGGAUGUAGGGGACACACAGACAUUUCACACGCCUGUGGGCUUACAGUGUGUCACACACGGCCUAGACACACGUCCGUGUGUCUAACUAUGUGGACGAAAAUAAGUCAUUUUAGGCCACUUUUCUCACCCCAAACUUAAUCAUUCAAAACAACAUGUUUUUAUAUUAAUCCACAACAUACCAAUAUCAAACAUGCUCCGCUAAUCACUCUAAUGACUUGAUUACAAACCGAAAUAUUAAGUUGUUAUUUGACCACAAAAGCUUAUACAUGCUAUUAUAACAAAAUAGAUUUAUCAUUUCUAGCAAAAUGAAGGGAUUGAUAGUGUGAUGAUAGCUCCGACUUAAUUCCAACCUUCACGAGAUUUGAGCACUAUAAAACAGGAAAAAAUAUAAACCUAGUAAGCAUUAAUGCUUAGUAAGUUCAUAUAACCAAACUACACUUACCUUUCAUGUUCAUCAAGUAAUUCAUACAUUAAGUAAUAUUUCCAUUAACUUAGUCAAUUAGCAAUUAAAUCCUACACACAAUCAAUCAACCAAUUGAUUAGUUUCCAAAAAUACUAAAAUGCAUAGAUGAGCUCAUUAUGCCAUUUCUUUUUAUAUCACUACGUAUGUCAUUACCGCUGAAUUAUUGAAUUUCCGAUGGACCUUUCCUUUUCUAGUUAUACACUUGAGGUGCACAUUCCUUUCCAAAUGGUACACACAAAGUAUACAUUUCCUUUUUAUAUGGUAUACACAAAGUAUACCUAACCUUUCCAAGUGUACAUACAAAGUGUACAUAACCUUUUCAAGUUGUACCAUUUGGGUACACAAAUCCUUUUCAAGUAUUACCCUUUUGGUUUACAUUCCUUUUCAUAAUGAGAUCAAAAGAUUAUCCUUUCGGAAUAACCUUUACUGCAACAUAUGCAGGAUCUCAUAUACAUGAUAAUCACUUGUCCAAUCGGAAAUCAAUAUUCAAACGGAUUCAUGUAAUAUUUCAUCAUUUACAUGUAAAUCACAAAUCAACAUUAGUUUAUUACAUGUACAUACAAAUUAAAAAUCAUGAUACACAUAAUUCAACAAUCAAUUCAACACAUUCACAUGCUUAAUUUAGUUAUACGAACUUACCUUGACAAUUGAUCGUAUCUAUUUAUCUGAAACUUUUUCUUUCCCUCAUUCUUUUUCUUUGUUCGACACUUCUGGAUCUAUAUAAAUAAAUUUAAUCAUCAAUUCUAUGAUUUUUACAUUCAAUCAAGCCCAUUUCAUAUUUUAGACAAAAGUACCCCUAAACUUUUAAUUAAUUCCAAUUUCAUCCCUAGGCUCAGAAAUUGAAAUUCAUGCAAUUUACUCAUUAUUCCAAGCUUAUUCAAAAUUCCAACAUAACUUUUACAGCACAUGUAUUUCAUAAAUUUCAGAAUUUUUUCAAGAAUUUCACUACUUUGCAAUUUAGUCCCUACACAUGUUUUCACUAAAAAUCACUUUGUAAAAGUGGUUUAUCUAUCAAUAAUCUUUCAUUUUCUAUCAAACACUUUCAAUUUACAGCAUAUUCAUAAAUAGGUAAUUUUCUGAACUUUAAUUUUUUUUAAAUUUAAUCCCCAAAUAAAGAGAUUAAUCUUUCCUAAUCUCAAAAAUAUAAAAAUCACUAUAAACGGGACAUAGAACUUACCAAUUCAAGCUUAAGAAAUUCCCUUCCUCUCUCCUAGGGUUUCCAUGUAUUAUAUGGAGAAGAUGAUGAUAUAAAAAAAGUUUUAUUCUAUUUAAUCGUUUAUCGUAUAUUAAUUUAUUCACUUUCUAAUUUUGUCCUUGCAUCUUUUCAAUUUUCCAUGGAUGAGUCACUAAAUAUAUCUACAUGUUUUUCAUUAAUGGCCUAAUUACAAUAUAAGGACCUCACAUUUUGAAUUCUCUAGCUAUAUAAUCCCUAUAGCUAUUAGUAUACAACUUUAACAUUUUAUUCAAUUUAGUCCUUUUUGCAAUUAGACACAUAAUUGAUAAAAUUUUUCUAUAAAAAUUUUCAUACAAUAUUCCAAUCAUAAUACCUAUCAUUUUAUGAAAGUUAAAUAAUUUCAUUUUUCGGGCUCGGAUUUGUGAUCCCAAAACCACUAUUCUGAUUUCACUGAAAUUAGACUGUUACAACCUCUAUUAUUGUUAUAGGAUCCAUGAACCGCAUCAUAUGGAGAGGUUUACAUAUAUAUUAUUUAUAUGUGCAUGUAAUCAAACCACUCCAUCAUUUAUUUUUUUUUCAUUUAAACCUAAUUCUUAGGGAUCUCCAAUUAUUAGGUAGGGUAUACUUAUAGUUUAUAUUUAUUUUUGUUUGAGCUUUGUUAGGAUAAUUACCACCAUCGGUCCAAAAUCCCUUUGGGUUUGGGCCAGCAUCAACCCAAACCCACGAGGUCGUUGACCGAGCUCAUAUGAUAGGAUCGCAGGCUGAGCUCGUAGCUCGUUUGCUGAGCUUACUCCCCUGCGAUAUUAUACAUGCAUGAAAACGCGUAACACGUAUUCAACCUAGAGUAGGGUACGUGUCUGUAUGCAUGGAGCCUACUUAACCUGUCAUCUCAAUGAAUAAUACCCAUAUCAUAUAAAUAGACAAACGUCACCAGGAAAAAAUGAUAGAGAAAAAUACCUCAACAAGCUUUAAUCCCAUCCACCUUGAUGUUAUCCAAACAUUUUUUCUAGUUAAAAUUUUGCCAAAUUAUCUAUAAUAUUAUCACCAUUUUGAAUAUAGUUAACAUUAAUGGUACUAUUAGUUAUAUGGUAUCUCUUAAUAUUUGUUAUCCCUUCCACUAUGUUUUCUUCUUAUAGAUCUAAAUAAUUUAUUAUAAUAUUUGUUAUCCCUUCCAAUAGUUGUAAUACCAUCACAAUGGUUUAAUAUAGGUGAUAUUGGCUUUUUUCAAAUUAGAAUAUCAAAUAAGAUAUCUGAUACGAACCCACCCUGCGAACUACUUUGGUCAAGCAUACUAAGCCGAGCAUUGCACAGUUGGCAAGCUGAUUCUAGGUCAUUUCCAGCUUCCCGAACUCCGUCCAGUUUAAUUCAGCUUGUUACCGAUUUAAUUUUGGUUAGACACAGCUCAUUAAAGCUCAACUCGGUUUGAUGCAAGCUCAUUGAGCUUGACUCAAAAACAUUUAAUUCCAUGCAUUCAACUUUUGGGGAGUAAAUUCGAAAAAAAUUUUGAGAUAACCAUUGUCCUAUUUGACAGAGGAAAGCCGCGCGGGAGAAAAUAUUUUCUAGGGAACAAACGGCUCGACUUGAGGAGAAGUCGUCCUCAAGAGGGGGAAUGAUACGAACCCGCCCCACGAACUACUUUGGUCAAGCUUACCAAGCCGAGCAUUACACUGUUGGCAAGCUGAUCCUAGCUCAUUUCCAGCUCCCCAAGCUCCGUCCAGUUCAAUUCAGCUUGUUACUAGUUUAAUUUUGGUUUGACACAGCUCAUUAAAGCUCAACUCGGUUUGACGCAAGCUCAUUGAGCUUGAUUCAAAAAUAUUUAAUUUCAUGCAUUCUAAUUUGCUGAAAUAAAUAAGUUUGUUUAUUUAGUUAGCUUAAAAUAAUUAGCUCAUUUUAAUUUGUCAAAUCGGUACAUACUUAAAUAAAGUUUUAAUGUGUCUUAGUUCAGGACAUGAAUUUAAUAUGUCAAGUUUAGGACAAAUUAAUUAGCUGCUGCUAUUUAUUUGUCUAAGCCGAAUUUAAUGGUUGUCCAAGCAUUAAACGUGAGUCAUAAAUAUGUCCUAAACUUAGACAAAUUAAAUAAGCUAUUUAUGUCUUAACCGAAUUUAAUUCAUGUUGCUACUUUGUCCAACCGAAUUUAUGGUGCAUGUUAAUUGCUGUCCAAAUUAAAGAGAUGUUAGAGCAAGCAUGGGACGAAUUUAAGGAGUUGUUCAGCAUGCAAGGGGCGUCCAUUAAAGAGGCUACUGGUUGACGAAUUUAAUAUGUCCUAACUCAUUUAAGUGCUGCUUUAUUUUGCUAUAAUACAUGCAUGGAUUAGCCUAGGGAAGAACUGAAUCAACAUCAUCUUUUAGCUAACUUUUUCGUGCAUAGCAACAGCCAUGAAGAAUUAAUUUCCAGCUACAGCCUUUAAUUCCCUCUAAGUGAUGCCUUGGGCAUUACAAUGAACACUUUUUUCUUUACCUAAUAAUCAACUGAAUUAGGCUGACAUUUGAAGUUUUCUAAGUUAUUUUAAUACCUCCCAUGAUCGUUCAGCUCAAUGAAGCACCACCAGCUUCUGUCGAACCUUCAAAUAGGAUAUUUUGAGCUCAUUAAUUCAUCAGCUAUUGAGGAAGAUUUAAGGAAAUUUCCAUGGCCUAUUCUAGCAUGUUCUAGCCGGUUCUAAAUGUUUAAUGAGCUGCCAAGAGUGACCAUUCAACUAACUUUUCAUUUAGCUUAUAAAUAGUUGUUUGUUGUUAUUUGAAAAGAAGGUUGUUGAACUUUGAUUAUUGUUUCUUUGUUAAUGAAACUAUUUGGUGAGAUUCUUUUCUCCCUAAUUUUGUUGAAGACUUGUUGGCUUAUCUAGGAAGCCUAGUGGCGUCAACCUAUUUUUCUUCUAUCCUGAACUUAUCACUAUUCAUAGUGUGGCAUUCGAAACUAUACCAAGGUUCCUACUUUGCUAAGUAGUGGGUCGAGGUUUACCUUCUACCAUUUGAACACCUUAAAAGCCUAUAAGCAAUUGGGUCAAUACUCUCUAGUAUUGGUUCGUGCUUGCUUUUGAGUUCCUUUCUUUCCAUACUUACAUUUCAUCUUAUCCAAACCAAACUAUCACCUUUUCUUCAUUCUUUUUCCUUUAAACCGAACCUUUAAUAUUCAUAUUUUAAACCCUAUCUUUGAACCCCUUGAAUAGCUUUCAUAUUACUUAUUUAAAAACAUCCUUUUGAACAAACCGAACGAUACUUCUUCGUAGACGAUUAGGCAUCUUACAUACGACUCGACUCAUCCCAAGGCGGAUCGUAUCAUCUGGUAUCAAAGCUUGCAAAAUGAGAAGUACCGCAUUCGCAUCAUUAUCGGGAAUAGGUUCGUAAAGUGAAAAAAAUAAAAAAAUAGAAAAAAAUAUAAAAAAAAUUGACUUUUUUUCUUAUUGUAUUCAUCUUAAAGUAGUAAAAAAAAGAAGAAGGGAAAUUUGAAGUUGAAAAAAAAAAGAAUAUAUAUUUGAAAGUGCAAGUUUUGAAAUCUUCGGAAAAAAAAGUGCUCAAAGAGGUUUGUGUUCAUCUACUUGUGUUUCUGAUCAUUAGGUCCCAAUUCUAUCAUCUUCAUAUACCCCAACGCCACACUCAAAACCAUUUUAAUUUUUUUCAGCCUACCAUAAACCCCCUCAUCUUUAUCCUUUGUUAAACAACUUGCAACCGACCCCUAAGCCUAAAUAAGGCCUUGGAAAGUCCGAAUACGAAGUUACGAUAGAAAAUUUUGAGAGGUGAAAGGCACGAUAGUGUGAGCACAAUCGAGUGGAGGUAAAAGCCAAAAUUACGAGUGUAAAUACGAGUGAGAGCAUAAUCAAACUUUUUCUUUCCGAGUGAAAUCGUGAGGUUUUUGUUGUGAGGAAUUUAUUUAUGUUCUUAUUUAACAAUCUUUUCUUUCAGUAAUAAAUUAUGUCUUGUGAAGAAUUUACCGAAUCGGAGUUCCAAUAUUUGGUGGAAGAAAUACGAAGAAUGGUGAAUACUAAGUUUGACAAACUACACGAAAGACUAGAUCGUGCGGAGAAAAUAGACCAAAGUGAACGAGUGUCAUCAAGUUGGAAAGUGGAACCAAGAAUAUCACGGAGAUAUACAUUCGAUGACUACUCGAGAGAAGAUUCUUAUUAUGAUUCUUAUUCGCCAACGACUUCGAGACAAAGGGACGUAUACUAUGACUCCUACUCAUCGAAGAAUUCAAGAAGAGAUUUCGAUCGAGACUCCUUUUCAUCAAGGAAUUCGAGAUGAAGGGAAGCUGAUUUUGAUUUUGAAUCCUUCCGAGAAAAUGUGCGAGAUGAAAGAUACACCUCUUCAAGAACUCCAAAGAAAACAUCCACGGAUAGAUCUUCACGAAGGAUUGUUCGUAAACCAUAUGUAAAUGAUUUUUCCUCUUUUGAUAAAUGAUUUUUCCUCUUUUGAACAAAAUGAUUAUUCUCCUUAGUCUUUUGUAACCUCUUGUAAAAAGAAAACGAGAAAAAAAAUGAAAAGCAAAAAGAAAUCAAAAGACAAGAGAGGCAAGAAAAGAUUAUGAGAGAAAAUGAGAGGAUCUUGAAUGAAAUCGAGAAAAGAAACAAAGAAAUGAAAGAAAAAGAGGAAGAGAGGAAACAAAAUGAGAUUGAAAAAGAGAAUGAAAAAGAAAAAGAGUUUUUUCAAAAGAAAAGAAUGGAAAAAGAGAUUGAGAUAAAAGAAAAAGUGGAAGAAGUAAGUGAUCUUAAAGAAAAAGAUUCGAGUGGAAAAGAUGUUAGUGAGCAAGCGAGGAUUGUUUCCACUAACCCACUUGUUAGUUUUGCUUGUGAUAUCUCUUCCCAUGUUUUUAAAAAUCCGUGUGACCAAUUCCAGCUUCAAUACCUUCCCAACGAGCAGUGAUUUCGGUUGUACAAGAAAGGUAAGAACGAGAAUGACAACUGCCCACUUGUGUCUGAAGGUAAGCGAGGUAAGGACUCUAUGAUUAUCAAGUCACGAUCAUUUGAUUUAAAAACUGGUAGGUUUUGAUGACUUAAUUUCUGAAAGGUUUCCAUAUUUUGAUUUGGUUAGUCGUUGUCCACCUAUUGAUGUUAAUGACCUUGUUUCAAAAAGAUCCAUGAAAAGUUUGUCUUAUGACAUAUCUUAUCCUUCUGUUGGAUUGGUUCAACCUACGCAAAUCUUGUAUGUGUGUGAUAAAAUUUUUCCACAUAAAAAUUUUGAUGUGUUGGCUGUGAUGGAUUUGAAUAUUUGAAUAGUCGUAUGCUCACAACUCCUUUGUUUGACAUACAUGUUAAAAGGUUUUCACCCAAAAUGCUUACUUUGUUGGAUUGUGUCCAUCAAAAAAAAACUUUAAAUUUUUGUGCGAAGUUUCCAUGUUUUGAUCUACCUAUUCGAUUGAGUUUUGUGAAGUAUAAAUGUUUGCAUGUUCGCCUGCCUAAACUUUUUUUGAUCUACUUUUGUGAUUUAUUUGAGAAAACGAAAUUCUGGCUGUAUUUUGGGAUGAGUAAUCAAAAUUGAGUGUUUAAGCUUGGAGCUAGCCACUUUAAGUUGAUACCAAGAAAAUGUAAGUACCGUAAUCUCAUUGUAAAUAAAUUUUUUGUACCUUUUCAUCCGUUACGAAUUUUAUCUUCAUUUCUGAAAAUAAAUCUUGUGGUUAGUUUACAAAAUCAAAAUCAAGUUUUUGAUUCUGGAAUUUUUUUUUAAUCCCGGAAUCUGUUUAUGCUAUCCACCUGUGAAUAACAUCUCAUCAUGUCCUUUUAAGUACAUUAUCCAUGGUGACAUUGACAUCUUCCAUCUUUGUGGAAAUUACAUUUUGAAAGGUGCAAGUUACUUAUUUGAUUUUUCACAUUUUCAGGUUUAUUCGAGGUUGAAAUAUCGAUUACAUUACCUUGCUAAGGAGCGAAGGUUUGUUUUGCGCAAACGAGAUGAAGAAAUCGGUGUUGUUGAUGAUGACUUUGUGGAAAGUGGCCAUAUUAUUCAUCCUGCUACUGUAAGUCCAUUCAACUGAAUACAACAAGGUGAGGCCAAGUGAAUAUGUCCUUUGUUUUGAUCCAUUUGGAAUGUUGUGGUUGAAACGAGGAAUGCAUCCUUAUUUGCUAAAUUGCGUGAUUAAUCAUUCCUUGUUUCCAUUCUGUUCAAUUGUUCAUAUUGAUGGCAUAUCGAAAUUGUGCGAUAAUAUGAAGCUCCAUGUUAUGAACGAAUAAUUUUUUUCCAUAUGAUCUUUGGACUGGAUUUUAUAUGUGUUAUUUGAAUUUGAGUUUGUCGCACUUUUCAUUGUCAAAUUUGGUGAGUAAAUUCGGAAAAGUUUGUGAGACAACCUUUGUCCCAUUUGACCGAGGAAAGCCGCACGAGAGAAAAAAAUUUCUAGCAAACAAACGGCUUUACUUGAAGAGAAGUCUUCCUCAAGAGGGGGGAAUGAUACGAACCUGCCCCGCGAACUACUUUGGUCAAGCUUACCAAGCCGAGCAUUACACUGUUGGCAAGCUGAUCCUAGCUCAUUUCCAGCUCCCCAAGCUCCGUCCAGUUCAAUCCAGCUUGUUACUAGUUUAAUUUUGGUUUGACACAGCUCAUUAAAGCUCAACUCGGUUUGACGCAAGCUCAUUGAGCUUGAUUCAAAAAUAUUUAAUUUCAUGCAUUCUAAUUUGCUGAAAUAAAUAAGUUUGUUUAUUUAGUUAGCUUAAAAUAAUUAGCUCAUUUUAAUUUGUCAAAUCGGUACAUACUUAAAUAAAGUUUUAAUGUGUCUUAGUUCAGGACAUGAAUUUAAUAUGUCAAGUUUAGGACAAAUUAAUUAGCUGCUGCUAUUUAUUUGUCUAAGCCGAAUUUAAUGGUUGUCCUAGCAUUAAACGUGAGUCAUAAAUAUGUCCUAAACUUAGACAAAUUAAAUAAGCUAUUUAUGUCUUAACCGAAUUUAAUUCAUGUUGCUACUUUGUCCAAUCGAAUUUAUGGUGCAUGUUAAUUGCUGUCCAAAUUAAAGAGAUGUUAGAGCAAGCAUGGGACGAAUUUAAGGAGUUGUUCAGCAUGCAAGGGGCGUCCAUUAAAGAGGCUACUGGUUGACGAAUUUAAUAUGUCCUAACUCAUUUAAGUGCUGCUUUAUUUUGCUAUAAUACAUGCAUGGAUUGGCCUAGGGAAGAACUGAAUCAACAUUAUCUUUUAGCUAACUUUUUCGUGCAUAGCAACAGCCAUGAAGAAUUAAUUUCCAGCUACAGCCUUUAAUUCCCUCUAAGUGACGCCUUGGGCAUUACAAUGGACACCUUUUUCUUCACCUAAUAAUCAGCUGAAUGAGGCUGACGUUUGAAGUUCUCCAAGCUAUUUUAAUACCUCCCAUGACCGUUCAGCUCAACGAAGCACCACCAGUUGGCUGCUUACAUUCUGUCGAACCUUUUAAUAUGAUAUUUUGAGCUCAUUAAUUCAUCAGUUGUUAAGGAAGCUUCAAGGAAAGUUCCAUGUCCUAUUCUAGUAUGUUCUAGCCGAUUCUAAAUAUCUAAUGAGCUACCAAGAGUGACCAUUCGGCUAGCUUUUCGUUUAGCUUAUAAAUAGUUGUUUGUUGUUAUUUGAAAAGAAGGUUGUUGAACUUUGAUUAUUGUUUCUUUGUUAAUGAAAAUAUUUGGUGAGAUUCUUUUCUUCCUAAUUUCGUUGAAGACUUGUUGGCUUAUCUAGGAAACCUAGUGGCGUCAGCAUGUUUUUCUUCUAUCUCGAACUUAUCACUAUUCAUAGUGUGGCAUUCGAAACUAUACCAAGGUUCCUACUUUGCUAAGUAGUGGGUCGAGGUUUACCUUCUUUCAUCCGAACACCUUAAAAGCUUAUAAGCAAUUGGAUCGAUACUUUCUAGUAUUGGUUCGUGCUUGCUUUUGAGUUCCUUUCGUUCCAUACUUACAUUUCAUCUUAUCCAAACCAAACUAUCACCUUUCUUCAUUCUUUUUCCUUUAAAUCGAACCUUUAAUAUUCAUAUUUUAAACCUUAUCUUUGAACCCCUUGAAUAGCUUUCGCAUUACUUACUUAAAAACAUCAUUUUGAACAAACCGAACGAUAGUUCUUCGUAGACGAUCGGGCAUCUCACAUACGACUCGACUCACCCCGAGGCGGAUCGUAUCAAUAUCUUAUAACUAACAUGCUUCUUCACUAGUCGAGGCUAAUGCUCUAAGUUUAGCCUCUUUGAUGGAGUUUACUAUUAUUUGUUACUUUUUAAAUUUUCAACUGAAUGUUCCAUCUCCCAGUGUAAACAUAUAAUAGUCUAGACAAUAAAUCACUAGCUAAGGUAUUCAAAUUAACAUAAUUGUAUCCUUAACAAGAUAUUUUUUUUAUAAAGUAUACCGUAAGUUAGAGUUCUUUUUAAAUAUUUCAUUACUAGAUUAAUUGUGUUUUAGUACUCUAAGUUUGGUCUACUUGUAAAUCUAACUAGCAGCCCUACAACAUAUAAGUUAUGAAAAAUCAUUUUUUGAAGAAUAUUAUGAAUGGGAUUAAAGCACUUUAUUUAAAAGGCAACCAACAAAUUUGCAUCUAAACUAUACAUUUUCCCCUAUCUUGAUACUUAAAUUUUAUUUUGGGUCACAAGUUAUACUUAAACUACGUUCUUUUUCCAAGUCGCUACCUCCGUUCAUCCAACCAUUAGUCAAACUGAUGAGUUGAUUUAAAAAGAAAAAAAAGGCUUAACCUACAAAUUGAUAUAUAAACUAUGUCCUUUUUACCGUUUAUUGGCACCUAAACAUUUUUAGUCACAAUUAGUACUAAUCUAUUUUUUCCAUAAGUUGGUAUCUUUAUUAGUUCAACCAUUAGUCAAAUCGCUAAGUCAAUUUAAAAAAAAUUAAAAAUUGUCAUGUGACAAAAAUGACAAAAAAGUAUUAUUUUCUCCAAAUAUAUAUAUUCUUUUUUUUUCUUUAAUUUUUCUUUCUUCCUUUCAUCUUGGACUUCCUCUAAAAGUGUGAGCGUUUAGGGCUUCAUGGGUUUUAUCAAAGUUUUUAGAAUCAAGUCGAUGGUCAAAUCGGUUAGGCCACCGACUCUUGGUUUGAUAAAUUAAAUUAUUAAAAUAUUCAUAAAAAUAAAAAAAAUAAAGAAAAUCUAUUCAACCGAUUUUUUGGCUAGCCUCAACUAGUUUAUAUAGGUUCACAGGUCAAUUGAUUUAACCCCUAUCUCUAAACCAAUACCUUGGCUGAUUUUUUAUUCAACCAGACGGAUCUGGUUUUGGAAGCCUUGAUUUUGACCGAUGAAAAAACUUUUUCAAUCUUGUCAAGUCGAGCAAGCAAAUGGUGAAGUUUGAAAAGAAAAAUAAUUUUCACCAUCUCGACUUCAGGAAGGCAAAUUUCAAACAUUGCUGGCAUUGUUAAACAUUAUGAAGGAAGAAGAAAGAAAAAAAGAAGAAAAAAAUAAUGAAAAUAUAAUGUAAAAGAAAAAUAAAAGAAUAAAAAAAUUAACUUUUUAACCGUUUAUAUAAUAUGGCAAUCUAUUAUUGGUUGAAGUUUUUUUACCGGAUAUACCAUUUUGGUAUAAAAUGGAUAACGGAAGAAUAAUUUAGGUACCAUUUGUGACCUCAAAAAAAUUUUGAUACUAACUUAGAGAAAAUGGUAUAAUUUAGGUUUCAAUUUGUGAGUUAAGCCCUUUUAAAAAAAAUAGAUUUAAUGGUUAGAUUCACGAAGAUACUAACAUCAAAAAAAAUUCAAAUACUACUUACGACCAAGAAAAAUUUAAAUAUUAAAAUAUACAAAUUAUUUAGUAAUUUAUGGUUAAACCUAUUUAAAAUUUGAGAUGAUAACUUUUAGGGUAAACUAUAAAAACAAUCAUUUUUGUUUGUCCCAAAUUACAUUUUAGUCAUUUAUGUUUGAAAUGUUACAUUUUAGUCACGUACAUUAUCGUUUUGUUACGAAGUGUCACUCUACCGUUAAGCUCCAUUACCUCCCUAAUGGUGGUCCUACGUAGCAGUUCAAAUGGGUUUUAAAUGCCAACUUAGAUGUCUUAUGUGACAGUCCGAAUUAAAUUUAUUCAAUUAAAAAUCUAUUUUUAUCCCUACAACUGGACAUCGAAGUUGGCAUUUAAAACCUAUUUGGACUGCCACGUAGGACUAGCUUUAGGGAGGUAACGGAGUUUAAUAGUAGAAUGACCACUUCGUAACAAAAUGAUAACGUAAGUAACUAAAACGUAACAUUUUAAAUAUAAAUGACUAAAAUAUAAUUUAAAAUAAAUAAAAAUACUAUUUUUGAAGUUUACCCGAACUUUUAAAGAUGAUGUUCAGAGUUAGAAAUUUUACCAGCUCACCACUUACUAGAUAGGUUGCGAGCAAAUUUCUGUUUGGUGUAAUGAAAAUUUAGUCUUACGAAACUAAUAAUAACUUGAGAAAAGAUGAUAUGAUCAUCACUAUAUAUCAUUUUGAUUUAAAUUAUGUGACAUAAUAAUAUUUAUUACUUAACCCACAUCAAUUGUGCCUUUUAUAUAUAUAUAUAUUAAUUUAUAAAAAUUAUUUAGUACAAUUAUAUUAUAAAUUAAAGAGUUCAUAUAUCAUAUUAUCAAAAAUUGGCUCUAAUAUGCAGAACAAAAUUGGGGUUGAACUUUUAGGUUAGUGCAAAUUUCAAAGACAUUUAAGGGUCCAACUGUUUGUUUAAGAACUCUAUUUGAUCACCUCAAUAGGUUCGGUUUAUCCAAAUCAGACCUCCGAUUAUGCUUUUUCAAAUUUUCCCAUUUUUAGGUUGGUCUAUUUUAUUGCAAAAAUACUAUUUAAUAAUAAAAAAUAAUUUAAAUUUAAUUAUAAAAUAUUAAUAUAAAAUAUUUAAUAUAUAUAUUUUGUAAUUGGGGAUAAAAAAACGAAUUACUUGAGAUUGGAUCUAAACUCUUAUAACAUAAUACUCUAGCUAUUAAAUUAAGAAGUUAUCAGCAAAAUAAUUUAUUUUCUAUUGUAUUGAAUUAAAGUUAAAAUAUUAUUAUCCAACCAUAAGUAAUUAAAAAAUUCAAUUGAAUAAUAAUUAAAAAUUAUUUUAUUAAUAAAAUUUGAACAUCAAAUAUCAUACUUUUUUAAGCAUAAUUAUAAAGUUAGCUCUUAAUGUUUAUUAUUUUGUUAUUUUUUACUCUUAUUCUUUUGUUUUUGGGUCAUUUUGGCUCCCCAACCUUUAAAGUUUAGUCAAUAUGCUUAUUUUUUUUACAAAAAAAAUUGACUACACUGUUAAAAUUUUAAUAGCAUUGAUGUGGCCACUAGAGUGGUAGUCCACAUAUAAUUAAUAAAAAUUCAGAAAAAUAAUAAUAAUAUUUAAAAAAUCAAAAAGUUCAUAAAAUCUUUUAAAAAAUUCAUCUAUGUUAGCAGAGAAGGGUACGUAAAAAGCCACAUGAGCUAUCAUGUCAAUGCCAUUAAAAUUUUAACAGGUAAACCAGCUUUUUCAUAAAAAAUAUUAUCUAAAUUUUAAAAGUUGAUGGCCAAAAUGACAAAAAAAAAAAAAAAAAAGAGAUAAGGGCCAAAAUGAAUAAACAUUAAGGGCUAAAUUUAUCUUUAUGUUUUUUUAAAAUUUUAUUUUAUAUUUUAGGGCAAAUGCUCAAAUUAACUGUAGAGGCCCAAUUCUGCCCGGGGCCCGUACAAAUGUAAACUAAACUAAACCAUUUUUUUUAGUCCAAGUCCCUUUAUUACAUCAGCCCAAAUCUGCUAAAUUUCAAUGGCCCAACAAAGUCCAAACCCAUUUACAAUAACCCAAUUCUAAACCCAACUACCCAGCCCAAAAAUUCAAAGCCCAAAGGGCCCAAAAUAUUUUAGAAAUAGAAACUAGGGUUUCCCUUGCGCCCAGCUGGCCUCCCAACCCUCAUACAGCCUCCAGCGCCUCCAUACGGCCUUCACGCACCACCCCACGCCAAACGCCACAUACCACAGCGCCAACUGGCCUCCAUACCUGCGAAGAAACAGACAAACACAGCAGCAAGAGCAAAAACCAACCAAAAAACUUUGUAUUUUUUUUUCUAUUUUGUUGUGGCUAUAAAAAGCCAAGAAAUAUCAAUGUAUCGCUCUCUCUUUUUUACGCACACAAAAACACAAUAGAAGGCAAUAAAAUAAAAUAAAAACUGAGAAAGGUGAUUUCAAAUUUUGUUCUUCUUUUCCGAUCAUACUUUUUUUGUGUGUGUAUUUCUAUAUAUUCUUUUGUGUAUACAAAUAGAAGGGGAAAGCGAAGGGCUUACCUUUGCGAACACGCCAUCGAAGUCCCUAUUUCCUCCAUCGAGAUCGGAGUUGUAUUAGGGAUUUUGGGGCUGAAAUUGGCAGCAUAUCCUCAUCGGGCGAAUGGCCUCUGUUGUGAAAUGGCCAAAUGACCUGAUUUUUUAGGUUUUCUUUUCUUUAAAUACUACAUAAAACGACGUCGUUUAAGGAC
rnacentral:lncRNA from 1 species